rnacentral:lncRNA from 1 species
UGCUAGAGUUUUAUUAUUAAGAUUCAGAUUAGCAUAGCCACUUUAUUUAUUUAUUUAACAACCUAAGCAAAAGAUAUAUAUAUAAGCACAAAAAUUUUUAUUUGGUUUUUCAUAGUUAUGUAUAUCUAUAUUUUAAUAUAGUAUAAGUAUAAAGAUAGAUUGAAAUACUUACCAGGAUAAAUGGGGGUGCUCUUCCCCAAGCUGAAUUUUGACGUAAUUUCUCUUUAUGUAGCUAGCAGGUGGCAGAGGCGUAUUUGAAAGUCAGCAGCAUUCUGACAGCGAUUAGAAUGUCCUCCGUCUGCUAGUCUUCUUGAUUCUUGAAUUCUGUGGAGCUCAAAUAGACAACAAAGCUUCGUGGAACUAAUUAAGUGUUAGCAUAAAUAUCUAGCCUUCAUCAUGUUGAGACUCCUCAAUAAAUGUUACUCUCUAUCUUUAUAUUUUCAUUUUAUAAAGCAGAAAAAUAUUUAUUUUAUUUUUAUGCCACCACAGUGAAUGUACUUAUGGGUUUUAUGCCACUCGUAUACUCACAUGGGGCUUACUGUUUUUUAAUAUUUUUAUUUUUUUAGGAUAGUAUGAACAUAAUUAACUAAGUAAACUAUUUUAAAAUAAUUGAAAGGAAAGGAUAACUACCAAGUUUACCUCUUGGCAAGGCGUUCGGUGUUUUUAAGUCCUCUGAACGAUAGUCUCCAUUUUCUCUAUUGUCCUGGGAUUCCUUGGGUGGCGUAGUCGGUACUUCUGGCAGUGCCUCCUCUUCAUGUAUAGUUAUCUUCUCUUUCCACACCUGACUCAGUGCUACGGUCUCCUCUAGAUAAUUCUGUUUAAACUGUAUGUCUUCUGACCUUACAACUUCUCCUUCAUAGUCUGCCCAUCCGUCCUUGAUGAUUUACCUUCUCUGGUUGCGGUUGCGUCGUUUUCUGACCUGCUUAGAGUCUUCAACGAUAUAGUUAGGGUCAGUAAAACAGCAGCGUACCUUCUCCGAGGGGAAGUGCAUAUGGACUUCUCCAGUUCCAAUGUAGAUGAUUGCUUUAACGGUGCUGAGGAACGGUCUUCCAAGGAUGAUGGGUGGAUCAUACUCAUCUUCUCCCAUGUUAAUAACCUGAAAGUCUGUGUAGACAAAAUGAUCGUCUAUUUUGACAGGGACAUCAGUUACUAUUCCUUUAACCUCUCGAAAUGUUUGAUCUGCCAUCUGUAGCUGAAUGUAUGUUGGUUUUAGGGGCAUGGCUCCGAACAAGAGCCGAUAGGUGACUGCGGCCAUUAUGUUGACGCCCGAUCCGGUGUCACAAGUCGUCUUGUAGAAGUUGUAUCCAUUUAUGGAGCAAUAGAUGCUUGGCAUUCCUGGGUCGUCCUUCUUGGUCAGACACGGUGACUUAAGUUGAUGAUCUUGACCUCCUUGAACUGCAGUGACCAUCUUAGCUGACUCGGUCCAUACUUGCUUGUUCCUAUUCCUCCUGUUGGUCCUCUUCCUUGAUUCAUGUCUGGAUUGAUCUGGGAUUUGUGUAGUCUUGUUCUUGAAGGAAAACGUCUCCUUCCUCCCUUUGAUGUAGAAACUGAUCUUGGCAACACUAGCGUAGAUGACAGCUCUCGAGGUGUUCAAGAAUGACCUCCCUAAGAUGAUGGGUGCUCUCUCAUCAUUACCGGUCUCUAUCACCACAAAAUCUGCUAGGGCAUACAAGGUACCAACUCGGACACAAAGGUUCAUUAAUAUUCCUUUUGGAAAACUUAUCGCCUGAUCUGCAAACUGCAAACACAUGGUUGUCUCUAAUAAAGGAUAUGUAAAGAAUUUUUCAUAGAGUACCCUGGGUAUAAUGUUGACGCUGGAGCCAAAGUCACAGAGUGCUUCUGGGACGUCCACCAUGCCGAUGGAAAUUGGGAUGACGGGGCGUCCUGGAUCGCCUCUCUUGACCGGCAGAAGGUCAGUAGUAACUUCAGUGACGGGGUUACUCCAGUAGUUACCUGCAUUAAACAUGUCUACAAGAUUUGCAGAUUCUAAUCCUUCCGGUUGUGAUGGUAUACCAGGGUUAGUAGUAGGAACAGCAGCAGCUAUUUGAUUUAACUGAAAUUCAAUAAUUUUAUUAAAGCUAAUUUGAUUCAUGAUGGCAGUAGAGAAAUUAUUUAUUCUGUUGUUUAUAUUUUCUAACAUUUUAUCAUUAGAUGCCAAUUUCUUAGAUAGGUUAUCCAUUAGCUUUCCUUGAUUAGACACUAACUCUCUCAGAGGUGGAAAAUUAUUGUUAUUGUUGUAAGAAUUGUUACCUUGAUAAUUACCUGAGUAGUUAGGCCUCUAUUGAUUCCAACCUUGAUUUUGUUGAGGACGGUUGUAGUAGUUGUUGCUAUUAUUGUUGAUGUAGUUCACAUCCUCAAGUAUCUCAGGGCAGUGAUUGCCUGAGUGUCCAGUAUCUCCACAUUCCUCACAAGUCAUGUGAGAGUCGUAGAUGUGCAUAACUUCCUUCUUAUCUUCAGCUCUAUCAUCAAGCUUCUUCAUGAGCAGGUCUAGCUAUGCAGACAGCAUGUCUACCUCCUUGAGCUGAUGCAUACCUCCACCUCUCUUGCGUGUGUGGGUCCUCUCUUCAUUCCAGCUUUGGUUGGACGCCAUCUUCUCCACAAGAGCUGUGGCUUGUGGUAUGGUGAGUGAUAAGAAUGCUCCUCCAGCUGCAGCAUCCAUGGUUUUUCGGGCACUGUUGCCGAGCCCAUGAUAAAACGUCUGCAUCAGUAGCAAACUCUCCAUUCCAUGAUGGGGACAUUCUAGGAUGUAGUCUUGGAAGCGCUCCCAUGCUUCUGGAACGGAUUCAUCAUGUUGUUGCUAAAAACUUAUAAUCUUCCCACGGAGAGCAUUGGUCUUGCCCAUGGGAAAGAACUUAGCCAGAAAGUUUGUUGAGCAGAGUGCCCACGUAGUAUUCUUCUCCUUUGUAGCAUAGAACCGCUGCUUUGCUCUCCCCAACAGUGAGAAUGGGAAGAGGCGAAGUAGUAUAGCAUCUCUGGGGACUCCUGAUAUGGUGAAUGUGUUGCAAAUCUCCACGAAGUGUUAGAGAUGAGCACUAGCAUCUUCGUGUGCCUUCCCACAGAACUGGUUGGAUUGCACUAUGUUGAUAAGUCCAGGCUUGAGCUUAAAGUUGCCAUCGAUCUCUGCAGUAUAUUGAAGUAAAACAAAGUCAUAUUCAUAAUAUUAAAGAACAAAGAUGAUUAGAGAACAAUUAGAAGAACAAUUAGAGAAUUACCAAGAAUCCUCUUGACAGAUCCGGAAACCAAUCAAAGAUUGACUCCUUCUAGUUCUAAUCCUAUGUAGCUAUGCUAAUCUAGAUGUCUAAUUGAUGUGGUGGCUCUAGGCUUGAUCAGAGGCUUCUUCUCCCUUCAGGAAUAUUGAAUUAGGGUUGAGAGGCUCUCUCCUCCAGGGGUCAGGGGGUCUGGUUUUAUAGUCCCUUCAAGUGAAUAUGGGUCGUUGGAUCAAACCGACAUUGAUUGAACGGUUAUCCUUGAUCGUUUAGGUCGGUGGAGAUCUUUCCCGAAAGAGAGUCCUGUUUGGACUCCAGGAGGGGGCGGGCGCCCAGGUCAACUGGGCGGGCCCCCAGUGCCUGGCCCCGUUCGGCCUCCGCUUCCAUCCCGUGGCUUCUGGAGUCUUCUAGAUAUAAGAUAAUUGCGCGGCACGUUGAUAUCUCUAUGUAAUCCCGACGUGUGGGCCUUUCUUCCAUAUUUCCUCAUAACCCCCUGUAGAAAUAUAUAAACACCAAAACUCGUGGAAUUCUGUCAGAUAAAACCUUAAGUCUAGAUGUUGAUUUCAUUUGGAUCCUUUUCUUUGUUUAUUUGUUUAUUAAAUUUGAUACUUAAGGACCGUCAUCAGCCCCCAAGGGACGCGAGGUUGGCAGAGGAGUAGCUGCCCCCUGCACGCAGGCCGAUCCGCUGCUCAUGGUUAACAAGUUGGGUGAACAACUCGUGCACCGAGAGCGGCUCGACGCGCAGGGAAACAGCGGACACGACCGGGUCGAAUGGUUUAUCCAACCCAGUCAGAAUGUAUGAGAUCAGGUCGUCAUCGUCGAGCUUCUUUCCCGCAGCCGCCAUCUCAUCGGCGAGAGCCUUCGUUUUACCGAAGUAUUCAGUGAUUGUAGACGUUCCUCUGGACGCAUUGGCCAGAGCCAUGCGCGUGGCGAUGACUCGCGCCCGUGAUUAGGCUGCAUGGAGCCCUUGGAUGGCAGCCCAUGCGCCGGCCGCCGUUGUCUCAGAAUUCACUUAACCGAAAAUUUCUUUAGAGAGGCCACUCAACAGGUAGCUGAGAACCUGCUGAUCUUGAGCCUUCCAGACAGCGUAGUCUGGAUUUGGUGUAGAUUCAUCCUUGCCCUCGGCAUUUUUUUUUUGUGAUGGUUGGGGGUGGAGGUGUGGUGUUUGGGUUGGAGAUGAGCAGCCUGAGCGCCAUUGAUGGCUGGGGUGACCUGGGCUUUCCAGGAUUGGUAGUUGUGGCGGGUUAGUUUCUCGGAGAUGGGGAUGAAUGCUAGGCCGAGGGAGAUAGCAGUCGGAAGCGAGGAUGAGGAGAAAGCCAUGGAGGAUCGAAGGAAAGUUCCGUAGGGAUUGUUUUAGGCUGAUACCAUGUAAAAUGAUAUGCGGUAACGAGUUAGCCUUUGUGGCAUCACUCGGUUGCAUGUUUAUACUGGAUGAGGAAUAGCCCCCCACCGGUGGCUCUUACAUGUGUCAGUUGUACAACAAGUUUAGGAUGGACCAAUGCUUGGUCGUUACAUGCACCUGAAUACACUCUAACACCACAUGCUAACAUUGAGUCAUUCUAACCACACGUUAACAUAUGAAUCAUUCUAACACAUGCACCUGGAUACACUCUAACACCACAUGCUAACAUUGAAUCAUUCUAACCACGCGUUAACACAUGAAUCAUUCUAACAUCGUCAAAAACUUCAACUACCAGCAACAGACUGCGUGCGUGUCAUGGAUGACGGCGGCGGGCGCUAGCGCUACUAUGGCAACAGCAUCGGAGUCGGAAUCAUCGGAUACCGUCGUCAGCGCCUACGACCUGCGCCGGAGCCACCACGAUUUCUUCUACGGAUAUUUGGUAGUUCGACGCCUGCCGCGAUCAGACGUCGUGGUGCAAUUGCAAGAGACGACGGCGGCCAAGGCUUCUUUCACCUGAACUCCUACCACUACCAAUGAUCUUUCAUGGGUCGGCCAUAUUGUUGAUCUUUGCGAAAUGCACAAUACAUCCAGAGGUCAAGUGGGGUGACGGCAGCACGUCAAAGGUACGCACACGUACUGUACGAAUUCGAUGACCAUACUGACAACGAUGACUCUUGUUGACCAACAACUACUACUAUCCAUGCAUGAUGCAUGUUGCAUGCAGGUGUUGCUUCAUGAGAUAGCUCUCGUAAAACCACGAAAGCGUUGGUGACAUGCUCCACGAGAUAGGCGAUUGGGUGGACGAGGAUGACGCCUUUGACAAUUCUCACCCCGACACGCGCUCGAGAACCGCGGCAGGCUGCCGGGGGCUCUUGGGGUCCGGUCGGACCGAAUUCUGGGUCCCGCAAUUUUCCCACCGAGUUUGGAGACUGUUUCUCGUUGAGCCGUAUGGUGUCAUCCACUCUGAAUUAUUAAGCUGAGCCCGCUAGAACUGUUCUUCAACUUUUCGCGUGUGUGGAGAGUUGAUGCUGCCACCUGACACACAGUCCACCUCAAUCAACAGCCUAGCUCACUGCUGACACCUGACGCACAAUCCACCUCACUCAACAGCUUAGAGCAACCUCAAUGUAUAUGGACCAAGUAGUCCAUAUACAUGGGGCCUACAUAAGUAGUCCAUAGCUAUUAUUAUUUGCUCACAAUAUUCAGCCAACAAAGUAGUCUAUAAGAUGGGGUCCACUAGAGAUUAAAAAUUAUUCUUUCCAACCAUCUCAUGUAUCAUGACACAAGAGAGAGAGCAUAGAGAGAAAAAAUAACAUUUCUUUAUUGCUUAUGGGUAGUCCAUAGGGCUAUGGGUACCUUUUGUUAUAGACUGCUAUAUGGACUAUCUCCACAGUGUUUCAGCUAGCUGAUAGAGAAUAUUUUAUUUUCUAUGGACUACUUUGCUACUACAUUGUGGUUGCUCUUAGCUCACGAAUGCACGUAUACUUCCAACAAACUAAAAAAAGUCAUAACUUCAAAACUAAAUAUCCAAAUUAAAUUUCGAUUUCACCAUCAGAUUUCUUAAAAUAAAUCCUUCAAAACAAGAUUCCACAUGAAUAUAUUUAGACAAAAAAUUAUUAACGAGCAUUUCUCUUAUGAAGAUAGAACAUUUUUUAUUGAGUAGGGACAAUGUUGAUUUAAGGAACAUUCCGUCUUCGUAUGAAAAAUAUUCUCGGUUUAGAAAAACAAAAUUUUUCAAACAGUAGACAAUGUUCUAGGUUCAAAAAAUAAUAAUGUUCCGUCUUUAUAAGAAGAAUGUUCUCGGUUUAGGUUCAUAAAAUUAGUAUUGUAAUAUACGUAAAAAUAAAUAAAUAAUACAAAUAGAGAUCAAUGAAAUCCAGAGCAAAGCAUAUGGAAAAAAUAAAAAUACGUAGUAGAGAAAAUUUAAAAGAAUACCAUAUGGAUACUUUUCAAACAUUCUAAAAUAUAUUAUAGGACAUUACAUGCGAACUAAGUGAACAUCACUCAAUAUAAUAUAGAACAUCACAAGAAACAUAAUAGAACAAUACAUCUAUACUACAUGAACAUCACAAAAUACAAUAUAGAGCAUUAUUAUAUAUUAUGUGAACAUCACAUGUAUACUAUGCGAACAUCACAAAAAAAAUAACAAAACAUCACAUCUAUACCACAUGAAUAUAAACAAAAUAUAAUAGAACAUGUAACACAUGAGUAUCACAUAAAAUAUCGUAGAACAUCACAUGUAUACUACAUGAACAUCACAAAACAUGAUAUUAUAAUCAUGUGGAUAUCACAAAAAACAUAGUAGAAUAUCACAUCUAUACUAUAUGAGCAUAGAAAAUAGAAAAAUUAAAUAUAAAACAUAAUUAAGUAAGAUAAAAUCACAAAAAAAAUAUAUGCAGAAAACCUAAUGACAAAAGAGAAAAUAAAAAAUAAAAAAAAUGAAAGGUCACACCAAACAAAAAAUAAGCAAAAAAAUAAAUUGAAAAAAGAAAAUAAGAGAUAAUCAGAAAAUAAUGGAAAAGAAAAGAAAAAUAAGUUGAAGCUAUAAAAAGGAAAUAAGAAAAAAAAAGAAAAAGAAAAGAAACGAAAAGAAAAACAAAAUAAAGAAAAAAAGUACCAAGAAAAUAGAAAAGAAACAAAAACAAAAGAAAAUAAACAGGUAGGAGUGAAAAGUAAAGGAAAUAAAGUAAGAAAAAAGAAGAAAAAGAAAAAGAAAAAGGAAAGAAAAAUAAAAAUAAAAAGAAAAAAAAGAAACAUACCUACUUAACUGAAGAAUCGUCACGUGUGUACGUGAACCACGCCUGCCUGCUCACGUCCGCAUGUGGGAAUCAGGCGGGAAAACACUGCGCGGGAAUCAUCGGACGAGCGCUUCCGUCCGAACGUUCGGACCGGAAGAAUCCCGCAGGCUGCCACGGUAUCUAUACCUUACAUCUCAAUUGUUUCCUAGCUAUCACAUUUUUUUAGAUAAUGGAUAGAUUAUAUCCGCCUUUAUCUAUUAACUGAUAAAAUCAGUCUAUUUAUUACAAAGUAUAAUCCGAGGGCACAUAUAAGGGCUACAAAUAAAACUAGUUUACAGCCAAACAAGUGAAUAACCGAAAUGAAAAUAAAGUUUUAACUAAACAUGACCAAUAUAUCUAGUUGACAACUAUCCAUUGUAACUAAACAACUACAGAGCCGACAUCUCUAGAUGCCAUCCAACUAGGGUUAGCAGAUACUUCCUCUAUUCUAAAUAGUAAAUUAUUCUAACUUUUUUGAGAGUUAAAACAUCUCAAGUUUAACUAAAGUUAUAGAAAAAUUGCAAUAAAUUAUGACAAUAAGUAGGUAUAUAUUAUGAAAGUGUAACUAAUGAAGAAUGUAAUGAUACUCCCUCUAAACUGGUAAUUCCGAUCAUUUUGGACAGAGUCACGGUCUCCAAAGCAUAACUUUGAGUUCUUGUUUUUAUAAAAAAUAUUUAGUGGAAAGUGUUAUAUGUAUAUUUUUAUGAAAGUACUUUUCAAGACAUUUAUUCAUAUGGUUUUCAUAGUCCAAACUUAAGGACUUAAAAAUUAUUUAUGUUUUUGUAAUACCCGAUUUUAAGAACAAUACCAGAUAUACACCAUAUGUGAGUCUUAAAGGCCAAAUCUCACAUAUAGCUACAAGUAAGGGGUAAUAUCAAAAGACAAUGCAUAAAUAUAUAACGUACUUAGUAUAAAAGAGAUAACCUUUAAUAGCAAACAACGGAUAGACAACUCCAAACUUCGGGUAUUAACUUCUCUCUAUAGGAUCCAACGGACUGGUUGAUCACAAGCCUAAACUUCUCGUGAAGGGUGGGGGAAAUAGCAAGAGUGAGUCCAUGUCGAACUCCACAAGUAUAGCAACUAGAUUGUAUAGAUCCCACAAACUCAUGAUCAAUGUGACAUAAAUAAUGUAGAGCAUUAAACAAUAAAUAAUGAGUAUAUUUAACACACAAGAAUCAUCACCGUCGAUGCAAGAAUCUCCAUGGCCGCUCUUGACCGUGAGCACGGCUAGUAUACUAGUUUUUAACACUCUGCAGAGGUUGUACAUCUUUACCCAUGAGUCAUGAUUUACCCUUUCGCCCGAGGUGAUCAGCCUCUUAACCCACUUCCAAGAAAGGUCGGCAGGGAUCACUAUGAAGCCUUUCAAAAGUUCGUCUAACAUGUUAAGGCCGCAAGGUUUCCUUUGCGCGUAGAUAUAGAGCCCCCCUUCCGAUGGCACAAUAACGCGCAGCCUAUACACAUACAGACAGAGGCCACACUAUACCUAAAACGGUUCAGCCCCUCCGCCGUUUCGGGUAACCUCUAACAAGCUAGAAAAGGUCUUCAUACUGAGCUAAAGCCUGAGCCAUUAUAGCCCUCAUAGUUACACUGUUGUCCCGGUUAUCACUUACAGAUAAAUCAUCAAGUUGCUAAAAAGUCAUUUUUAUCAUUUAUUACUUAACAUUAAUCUAGUCACAAGAUCAUGGUCACAGAAUAUAAAACCUAAAUACUAUACUUGCCUUAAUCCAAUUGCUCUUGCUUAUCCUUUUGAUCCUGCUGGUCUCACUUGUCCAAGGCUAUGAUCUUGAUCACCAAAACUGCUUUCCGACUAAACUCGAUCAUCAACACACAACCAACCGGAGAAAACAUACACGAAGCAAACAAGGCUACAAUUAGAACAGUACACCAAUCAUAUAAUAACAGUAUAGAGAGUUCAUAAAAAGAUUCUAUGCAGCGCUACGAUAUCAUAGACGUAAAGAUCAUGAAAAUCAGAGCUAAAACGGAGAAGUUAUGAAUUUUCUAAGGUUUUCUUUAGAAAAAUAAUUAAUUAAUUAGGGUCACGAAAAUAAAAAGUUUCAAACUGAGAAAACAAUGUUACUAACAUGUAUAGCUCAUUAGUACGAAUCCAACGCAAUUUGAAUGGGUCAAAUCAGAGUUAAAAUGAAUAUUUUAUGGCCAAAAGAAAGUCAGUGGCAAUUUUGUAAAUAGUGAAAACGUAUUUUUAAUCGGUUAGCUGUUUGUAUUUUCCAAACUGAAAGAUAAAGUGAUUUGGGCUUACGUUGGUGGAUAGGGAGUAGGUUCACCGGCAGUGACGCUUUCUUGGAGCUACAACAGCGCCGGAGCAGCCGACGGUUCGUAGAUGUCGUGUAUAGGCGAGACGAUGGCGAUCACGUUGUAGAGAAGAAAAUAUAAAUUUUAUUUUACUACCUUAGGAAUUCUCAAAUUAGAGGUUUCCCAUAUGAUAGUCUUUGAUGUGCUUUGCCUAAGGGUUGGUACAUAUAUAUAGGGAGAAAAACUCCCCACCUCCACGUCAACUAGCGAUAUGGUACUAAUUGAUGUUGCAACCUCCAUCUUUACUAAUAGGCCUAAUUAAUUAUUAAAGCCCAUUAGUAAAUAAAGACAUUGACCAUUGAGAUCAUGGGCUUAAGCGUGGGAUAAAAUGAAAGUUUUUAUUAUUUUCGAAAUUAAUUAAUUUGGCGAAUAAAAUAAUCCUAGAAAAGUCCAGAAUUAUGAUUUAAGCCAUGAAAAAUACUCCGAAAGCUUCGAAAAUUCAGGAAAAAUUCUCAGAGAUAUUAUAGAACAUGGGGAACCCGAAUAAAGCUUUUGGAGCUCAUGAGAAGAUUGUUUGGAGCAUCUAAAAAUUAGAUCAUGUUCACAGAAAAGUGAGAACAGAAGGUGAAAAAAAUUCCUGAAAAAAUUGUAGAGAGUGCUUGAUGGACGAGGAACUAAAAGAAGUGCUUUGAGUGACAAAGAAAAUAUUUUAGGAAGAUCCUAAUAAAAAUUUGAGCUUAGAAACAAGGAAUUUGGUUGUAGAUAAAAGAUAAAUACGUGCCGAAUGAAGAUCAAUCUACUAAACGUAUUUUAAAUAUUUUUCUUACUAUGAACACAUAAAGGAGCAACAAGCAUGACAUCAAAACAUAUACACCAGCAUGUAUGCAUAAUAAUAUUGCUAAGCCUUAUGAUAAAUUUUAAUUUAAUGAAAAAUAUUAUUUUUCCUAUAUUUUCAUGAGCACAAAAAUACAAAAUUAAAUAAUUUUAUCUAUAUUUCAAAAGGAGUAAAUUUUAGGGUGUUACAAUUCUAUCCCCCUUAAGAUGAAUCUCGUCCUCGAGAUUUGGAAGACGGUUAUCAAAGAGACGUAGAUUUUGAAUCUUGUUCACUUUCUUGAGUAGUUAUAUCUUCAUAGCUAUGAUUCCACUCUCUUACUUCAAGUAGCCUCUCAAGUAUUCCUAAAAUAUUGACGAGACACCUAGUGUAGUAGGUACGAUUCUUCUUUAAACUUAUUUCUCCUAUCCUUCUUAGACGCUACACAUCAUAUAGUCUUUUAAAUUUGCUGUACCGAGUCUCUUGAUCCAAGGUUAGUUUCAUCACUAAGUUCCAAUUAUUGGUACCUUUAUCACAGUUAAGUUGCUUCACUCUCACACUAUACAUACAACUCUGUAGACUUUGGUGUCAUCUGAUCCUCAUACACAACUCUUAAUCCAUGAGUAUCAGUAAUGACAUAAACCUCCAUUGGUAUUAGCACACUCCAAAUAGAAUGAUAUCUUGAAACAAACCAACAUACCAAGCACUUGAUGUCCUUGUAGAUAUUCCAGUUAUUAACCACUUCUUCUCCUUGUAGUUCUUUAAUUGGGCUACUCCCCUUAAGAAAAGUCAACUAGGGGACCAAGAAAGGUAGCUUGCAUACUUUCCAGACAAGUUAACAUUGGGAACUUCUGACAUCCCAAAGAACUUAUGUGCAGUGGAGCAAACAGGUAUCCUGAAAUUUCCUCGCGAUAUGAAAAACAUCAGCGUAGUAAAAUACAUAUAACUCUUAUUCUGUUAAUUCAAUAGAGUUGUAGCUUAUACCAUCAGAAAGCUUAAGAAUUUCCCUACAACUUUCAUGUAGAAAACCACCUUAAGUUCUGUCUUUAAGCUUAGGUAAAAUGGCCAAACUUAAAUUCCAUCCUGAUAAUGUCUUAGCAAAGGUGCAGUAAAUUCCAGAAAUUAUAUCUCGAGCUACUUAACUCAUCUGGAGAUGAUCCUUACAUUUUUGAAAAGCUUAGGAAAUCCUCUACAACUUUCGUAUACCAUGUUUUCCCAGAUUCUGUCUUUAACUUGGCCGAAAAUAGGGAAUACCAAAACUGUCCAGACUUUGAUACAGAACAGAAAGAUCCAAUUGUAAAUAUCAUAUCUCAGGUUCUACUUAGCCAAAUAAGUUCCAGCUUAUACCGUUGGAAAGCUUAGCAAGUUGUCUAUAACUUUUCUAUAGAACACUUUUUCAAAUUCUAUAGUUAUAUUUGUCUCAAACAGCAAGUUCCCGAAACUGAUCCAGAUUCUGGACAGCACAUCUGUAUCAUCUUGUGAUUUUUGUAACUUCCAAACCAUAAUAGCUAUGAGGGUGAUUCUUGCGGUCAGAGAAAGAUCUUGAAGUUUAGUUGUUUCCACGAAAAGUUGAUAGACUUUGCAUGAUCAAAACUUGAGAUACACCAGCAUUAUUGUAGACUGCUCCAGAAAUCAGCAAGGGAUAGAAAUCGGAUAUAACCAAACCCAACUACUUAUUUCACUACUCCUUAUGCCUUAGGCCUAUAAACUAAAUGAUAUUGUAGAGAAACCCCACAAAAUCAUUGCACUCAUUAUAAAGAUCCAAAUCAAGCAUAAACAUAAUAACAAACCAAACCAAGCAUCAAAGGUACACUCUUCAAGCAUUGACUCAACUUGCGGUACUAUCGUUCUCUUCCUGUUAUGGGUAAAGAUCCUAAAACUUAUGUUUCAAAGACGCAAGAAGGGUAAGAAAAGGUUCUAAUAGCAUACUGAAUCAAGGAGUGAAGGUGAGAACAUGUACUUUUAAAAUAAGCAACAAGGUGGAGACAAAUAGCAAGGAUAGGGAUAUAGUAUGGAUGAAAAUACCAAGGUUUAUAGAGCAAGGAUUUUAUGACAAUUCCAAAACCGUAAGACGACUGAUUUCUAACUAGGCUUGCGUCCUACAGUCAGCAUUGCUCUGAUACCACUUUGUAAUACCCGAUUUUAAGAACAAAACCAGAUAUACACCAUAUGUGAGUUUUAAAGGCCAAAUCUCACAUAUAGCUACAAGUAAGGGGUAAUAUCAAAAGAUAAUGCAUAAAUAUAUAACGUACUUAGUAUAAAAGAGAUAACCUUUAAUAGCAAACAACGGAUAGACAACUCCAAACUUCGAGUAUUAACUUCUCUCUACAGGAUCCAACUGACUGGUUGAUCACAAGCCUAAACUUCUCCUGAAGGGUGGGGGAAAUAGCAAGAGUGAGUCCAUGUCGAACUCCACAAGUACAACAACUAGAUUGUAUAGAUCCCACAAACUCAUGAUCAAUGUGACAUAAGUAAUGUAGAGCAUUAAACAAUCACUACACCACAACACUUUUAUAGCGUCAGACAUCUGACGCAAAAUCUUUUUUUUUGCAGUUAGACGAUCUGACGCUAAACAUCGCCCAGAGACCAUCUGACGCUAAAUCUGAAUUUAGCGUGCUAUUAUCUGACGCUGUAGGUACUUAUAUUCAGAGUCUAGCUAUCUGACGCAAAAACAAGGUACACCGUCCACCUCUCUGACGCAAAAAAUAAUGGGCCCCACCCUCGCUUGCCUGUCCGCGCUUAGUUUUCUCUUUUAGAAACACUAGUACAGAGAAGCUCUAAGCUGGCGGUGGAAUUUAAUUUUUACAAGUGUAAAAAUAAAUUGACGGGCCCAACUCAAAAACUGCCCGUAGAAAUCAUGUAUUUCUUCAUCGUAAUUAAAUACAAGUCAUAUAAGAUUUGUUCCAUGAUAAACUUUUUUAUAUCAAUAUCUAAAAGAAAAAAUAUACAAGACUGACAUUUCUUGUAAAAAUAUUUGUAGCUAGCGAUAGGUAGCAAAGCACGGCAGCAAAGCAAACCACCGUGCCUCUCUCUCUCGUCUCGUCUCUGCGUUGCGCCGCUCCUUAAACAAACGCCAGGAGAAGGCUGCGGCACGCGUCCCCCUCCGUCUCCAGCCUCCACCCAUCUCAAAACCCUAGCAACCGCGCCUCCAUCCCUACCCGAAUCCCAAUCCAAGCCCGAUCCCCCGGCGGCGAGGACCCCUCCGCGCCGAUUCGUCCACGCAGAUCGGCGGGCGGGGGCAGAUUCAGAUUCGGGUUCGCGGUUCGCUCGGGUCGUCUCGCCGGGGUCCACCGCGGCGGUCGGGGAGCUCUUCUGGGCGCCCGCGCCGCUCACCACCAAGUCCUGGGCGGACGUCGAGGACGACGACGACGACGAUUACUUCGCCACCACUGCGCCGCCGCGCCCCGUCUAGGGCACUGCCGACGAGCCCGUCAAGGAGGAGGAGGACGUCGAGGAUGUUGUGCGGGCCGCCGAUUUUGUUGUGGAAUGUGCCUAUGAUGUUCUUAUACCGUCAUAUAGGUUAAUUUGUGUUUGUCUAUUUUCAGAUAAAAAUGAUUGCAGGUUUAUACAAAAACAAAAUGGAUAGCUUCAUUUAUAUUUGCGUACCCAGCCCAAAAUGGUCUCAUGUUUAGCGGAAUGAAAUUUUGGGAUAGUUAUUGUAGGUUUGCCUCUUGACUUUUUCUUUUUUUGCCUAUACAAUCUGCUACUUGCCAGCCUUCUUUUCUGGAUGCCUCUUUUCCAACCUUAUUUAUAUAUAUAGAUGCUAAGGUCUGUGCUCUUUUAUAUCCAUUUUCUUAUUGUUGUAUGAUAAGCUGCAAUUUAAACAUAGCUUCUCCUUUGAUGAUUUGGUCAUUCCAGUCAGAAAAUUUUGGUCUUCUCCUGCAGGUUGUGGUCAUUUAAUGUUACUUUCAUUUUUCAUGUACCUUUUUAAGCCUUCUAUAUCCCCUUUCAAUUUCAGUUUUCAUUUGUUUUCGAAAUGGAAUGACUAUAGUUCUCAUAGAUGCAGCUUUACUCAUUGCUCCAUAUUAUUUCCUCAUUUCUUUUCUUUGUACAGCAAAGAAUAAGGUGAAGAUGGCGGACACAUUUGCUAUACACAGUAGAUCAAUACCUUCUGCUACUACUUGAUGAGAAUCUCCCCUAUUUAACUAGAUUAACAAUUACUUUAGUGUUUUGCCAAAUUCAUCAUGACUUUACUAUGUGGCCUCACCUCCAAUGCUAUUUGCUCAAUCGACGUAGCAUAUGGUAAAUGUUACACUGCAUCCUGUACACAUAAGCCUCGUAUAUUACUAGGUACAAGCAUUACAAAUCUUAUCUACAAAUACACACCUCCAUGCAACCAUGUAGUAAAAAAAUGAGUUUUGGCAAUGUGUUUUUUCCAUUAAUGUCUACAACAAGAAGUACGUACUUCACAUUGAGUAGACUAGCAAUGGGGCUCACAUUGCCAGCUACAAUGAUACAUGCUUCAAUUUGGAUGUCUUCUAGGCUUUAUAGUAUUCAAAGUCUGAAUAUGAAUGAUUCUUUGUGCAUGUACAAACUCAUUUUUCUGCACUACAGAAUUCUUCCAGUCAGAAUGAUGUGCCUAUAACAGUUAGUUGCUUAUGGUUGGUUCCUUUGUUCCUUGCAAGGCUUUCUGUUAAUCGCUAAUUAGGUUUGCACAACUAUCGUGCUGUUGACUGCUAAGGACCGUUUUAGAGGCAGUUCACUUAAGAAAACCGCCUCUGAAUUCUUAGAGCCAGUUCCUUUAAGUGAACCUCCUAUGAAUCUCUAUUUUCAGGAGCAGUUGUCCUUAGUGAGCCGACGAUGAAGAUCCAUGAUUUCCAGAGGUGGUUCACUUAACAGAACUGUACCAACAAAUAAGUUAUCGGAGACGGUUUGCUUAGUCAACCACCCCUGAAAAACUUACUCCAGACUCUUUCUUCUUCCUCGCGACCGAGCGCAACACCUUUCGUUCUUAGCUCUCGACGGCCGAAGAGAAACGGCAAGAGGAGAGGGGGAGGUUUUGGCCUUUCAACUUUCAAACAAGUUGGAAUUGUGGGGUGAGUCUCUUCAGCCAUAAAGCCUAUUGGAAUUUUGCAGAAACAUUAUAUUUGAUUCUACGCCGAGAUCUAUAUAGAGAGGGGGGAGCAAUUUGGGCUCUAAUUUGUUUUUUUAUUUAUUACAAGUAAUUUGGGCAAAAAUUUUUAUUUAGUGACACGAUAUCUUUUCUCAUGCAUGCUAGCUUUUUUUCUUUACAUUUAUAUAGGGUACUAAAUAUGGACCGGUCAUGGAUGUACAAAAAACGAAGAAACAAAGUCACCUACAUACAUGAAUUGAAUGGUUUCAGUGAAGCAGCUAAAAGACAUGCUUUGAUCAAGCAGACAAAGGAUAUAUAUUGACCCUGUUGUGACUAUAGAAACCAAAUAGUGCGCUAGGAUCCAAAUAAAAUAAGGUCACACUUGAUAAGAAGGGGUUUCAUGAAGAACUACGAGAUUUGGGAUCAUUAUGGUGAGAGAAGUACGAAGGCAAGGGCUACACAAGCACCAAGAGUUCGUGGAGUUGACAAUGCCCUUGUUUUCACGAUGCAUGAUGAUGUUAUAAGAGAAGACUUUGAUGGUGGUGGUGGUGGUGGUGGAGAUGACGGUUGUGACGAUGGAGGAGGAUAUGGUGGAGAGGAUGAUGAUGGUGAAGUCAACAACGAAGAAAAAGAGGACUUCCUAGAAGAUAUGCUACUCAAUAUGGAAAAAGAAUUACUAUUGAAAGGGCUAAAAAAAACUUGGAGGGAGUAAAGAAAGCAAUGAAAGAACGCUUAUAUCCGGAGGAACAGGGAUGUGAGAAAAGAUGGUCCUUGCUUUGUUUUUUGCUGGACAUACUGAUUUUGAAGGCUAAGUAUGCAUGGUCCGAUAGGAGCUUCAAUGACCUAUUGACUCUCUGGGCUGUUGUGCUUCCUAAACCAAACUUUGUGCCCACCAACACAUAUCAAGCAAAGAAGCUUAUCAGUCCACCUACAAUGGGUGUGGAACGAUUAUAUGCGCAUCCAAACCAUUGUAUCCUUUAUCGUGGGGUCUUCAAAGACCUAAUGAAUUGUCCGACGUGUGGUGCAAGUUGAUACGAAAGGAACGACAACAGUAUUGAGGAAGACAUGGGUACUAAGUGUAGAAAAAAGAGAAAGAAGUGUGGAAAGAAAGGAGACGCUACUAAGAAUGUUGAAGAAGAAAAUAGCACCCUAGGAGUGCUCACGUGUUCUCUUCUUGCUCCAUGAAGUGAUCUUCAUAUUUCACAAUCUUGCCAGGAAAGUCUUCCCAUCCACGGUGAGGCUGGGCAGCCUGACGGUGGGCUUGGCGUCUUCUCCUAUUGCGUUGCUUCCUGAUCUGCUCAUGGUUAACUAGUGUUCUAAAUUGACAGUGUACCUUUCUGGUAGGUAGGUUGAAGUGGAUAUGUCCGGAACCAAUGUAGAUGUUGGCGUUGGCUGUGUAGAGGAUUGGUCUUCCCAAGAGGAUCGAGGACUCAUCGUCUCCCUGCAUGUCAAAAACUAGAAAAUCUGCAGAUAUAUAUUGUCCUUGAAUUCUUACCAUGACAUCCUUGACCACUCCUUCAGGGAACCUUAGUGACUGAUCCGCCAUCUGCCACUGAAUAUAUGUUGGGUAUAAAGGUAAAUCAAAUAACUCAUCAUAUACCUAUUUUGACAUUAUGUUGCAGCCUAAUCCAGUGUCGCAGACGGCGUGAGCGAAGGUGGUGUCUUUGAUUGUGCAUUCAAUGAUUGGAACUCCUGGAUCAGAUCUCUUGGUUGGAAAUGGCUUGGGUAGCAUAUGAUCAUUCUCUGUGUUGAGAGCAGUGAUCAAUUGAGUUGUCUCCGCAGGUGCAUGCUUGGUCCUCCUCCAUCUUCUAUUGUUUCUAUUAUUCUUGUUCUUCGUCAUUGGUUGCUAUUCUUGCUCUUCUUGUUGAUGAAAUUACUUUGGGGCUGUAGGAGUUUUCAGGACACAGUUCUUGAAUGUGAAUCUCUCUUUCUUGUCCUUGAUGGAUAGGACGAUCUUGGCAUACUCUGCAUAGAUGAUGGCUUUUGUUGUGCACAAGAAUGGUCUGCCCAAAUCGAUGGGUGCCUUCUCAUCUACUCCUGUCUCCAUGACCACAAAGUAACCUAGGACAUACGGUUGCCCCACUCUAAUGACAACUUCUUCUAGUACUCUCUCAGGGUAGCAAAUGGACUGAUAUGCAAGCUUAGGCAUGAUGUUGACACUUGCGCCAAAAUCGCAGAUAGUCUCUGGAAAGUUGUGGCAUCCUAUAGAGAUAGGAACGACAGGUCUUCCAGGGUCUCCCAUCUUCUCUGGUAGAGAGUGGUCAAUCCACUGUACAUCUGCAGGCUCAAUAUGAUAUUGGGUUGCAUUGUGAAUGUCAACAAGGUUAGCAGUUUCUAAAUCUUCUGGUUGGCCUGGAAUCUUGCCUUUUUCUAAUGGAGGAACAGCAGCAACUAAUUGUGAUUCGAGCAUUUUAUUGAAACUAUGCUGAUUCUUUAUGGCAGAAGCAAAAGUAUCCAUUCUAGUAUGUAUGUUUUUCAAAGUUUUAUCAUUUGAUGUUAGUUUCCUAGUCAUUUGAUCUAGUAGUUUGGAUUGACUAGUAACUAAUUCUCUCAAAGGCGGAAGGUUAAAAUUAUUAGAAUUAUUACCUUGGUUGUUAUCUUGGUAAUUACCUUAUCGGGGUUGUUGGUUCCACCCUUGAUUGUUGAGGACAAUAGUAGGUAUUGUUGUUGAUGAAGCUCACAUCCUCUUGUAGCGUAGGGCAACUGACAGCUGAGUGCCCGUAGUCUCCACAUUCUUCACAUGUCAUAUAGGAAUCAUUGAUGUGCAUGACUUCCUUCUUCUCUAUGUCGAGCUUCUUCAUGAUGAGGUCUAGCUUGGCAGUGACCAUGUCAGCUUCCUUGAGAUGAUGGAUUCCUCCUCCUUUCUUCCGAGGUUGAGUACGUUCUUCAUUGCAUGUUGAAUUGGAGGCCAUCUUCUCCAAGUGCUUUCGCGUCUGAGAGCUUAAGUGACAGGAAAGCUCCCCCGGCUACAACAUCAAUAAACUCACAGGUACUAGAGAUGAGCCCAUGAUAGAAAGUCUGCAUUAACAGCCACUCCUCUAUCCCAUGAUGAGGAUAGUCUUCAAUGUAAUUUUAGAAUCUUUCCCAUGCUUCAGUGAAUGAUUGAUCAUGUUGUUGUUGGAAACUUACAAUCUUCCCACACAGAGCAUUUGUCUUGGCUGUACGAAAGAAUUUUGCUAGGAAAGCAGUCGAGCAUAGGUCCCAUGUAUUAUGUUUGUCUUCACCUAAAUGCUCUUAUGUUUGUUCUUCUACUUGUUCUUCAAACUCUUCUUCUAAUGUUGGAGUUGGCUCCUCUAAAGAGCUAGCUUGAGCAGAAGAGGGUGUUCUUGAUGGUGACUCAAAUUUAUCCCUUGCUUCAACAAACUUCUUCUUUCUAAGGAGUUUCUCUAGAUCUUCAGUAAAGUUUUUUGGAAGAGAAAAACCAUUUAUUCAUCACCCAACAUAAGAUAAGAAAAUGAUAACGACGAAGGGUGUACCUAAUUGAGUUAGAAAUCGAUUGGUAAUAUGACUUUAUCCAUGUGUAUAUAUGUUAUCAAUAUAUCCUAAGUUUAUUGUGCCUUCUAUUGAUGGUCCUUAAAUACCAAAUAUAAUUAGUAAAUAAAUAGAGAAAAGGAUCCAAAUGUAACCAACACCCAGACUUAGGGUUUUAUCUGACAGAAUUCCACGAGUUUUGGUGUUUGUCUAUUUUUGUAGGGGGUUAUUAGGAAAUAUGGAGGAAAGGCCCACACGUCGGGAUUACAUAGAGAUAUUAACGUGCACUGCGAUUAUCCAACAUCUAGAAGAGUCCAGAAGCCACAGAAACGAGCGGGAGGGCGAGCGGGCCCGGGGCAGGGUGCCCGCCCUCCCCCCUUGGGUGCUCGCCCUGGCCUGAGAGCCAAUCAGGCUCCGCCUCGCAGAUCAUGCUCCACCGACCUAAGAGAUUAAGAAAAACCGUGCGAUUAAGGUCGGUUUGAUCCGACGGUCCAUAUUCAUUUGGAGGGACUAUAUAAGCAGCCCCCCUGGCCCCUAGAGAGGAGGACCUGAGAAGCCCUAAUUCAUUCAUUCAUCUCGGGAGAAGAAGUCUUUGAUCAAGCCCUCGAGCCACCACAUCAACUAGAUCUCUAGUUUAGCAUAGCUACAUAGGAUUAGAACUAGAAGGAGUCAAUCUUCGAUUGGUUUCCAUAUCUGUCAAGAGGAUUCUUGGUAAUUCCUCUACUGUUCUUCAUUUUUUCAUCAUUGUUCUUCAAUAUUAUGAAUAUGACUUUGUUCUACUUCAAUAUAUUGAUUAUGACUUUGCUCUACUUGUUUAUAUUCGCAAUUAUAUCGUCCUUAGUUUGUCAUAGUUAUAUGCUUGGCUUAGUUAGAUUGGAUUUAUAUACAUGUUUAGGAUCAUAUAGCGUUUAUCCAUGUGUACAGUGGGUAAACGAUAAGUAUUGUGUAGGCGUGGUGUCUAUACCGUAUUUAUCUGCGAUUGUAUCCUAUAUGCCGAAUCGCGGGGUAGUUCGUGGUGGUGACAGCUCCUUUGAUUCUUAUAUAGUCCCCCUCUCGUGUAUAGGGUAGGCAGAACAACAUUAUUACAGGGGAGUGAUUGCUAUGUUUCUCAUUUUCCUUGAUAAUAUCACUAUGCAUGGGCGUAGUCAUGUCUCGCAAUGAUUGACAAGUAUAAUUGCACUAACUAUGAUAUGCUAGACUUUAUAGUUAAGAAUAACUUAGGAAAUAUUCUUGUAGUUCAUCCUAAUUCCAUGCUAAUGACUUGUGUUGACACUUGCUAACACCACUUGAAUACUAGGUUGUCAUCCCCAGCAUGGCACUAGAGUGUACUAUGGUAUUUAUACGCACACAGAUAAAUCCGCAAGCGCACGGAUACUGUUGUAGCUUUUACCCGGUUAAAGGUUUUAUCGUAUCCACAGGGAAACGGAAGAACCAACUACGCUCUAACUUAACCAAGAUAGAUAGAUAGGUGUAAAUAGGAAAGAUGGUAGAAUUGAAUAAGAACAAUAUUAAAGGUAAAAUGAUAAUGGAGGAAUAUAGAGUAGAGCAAUCUAAUAUAUGGGUGAUAAUAGGAGAAUAGAGAGAAUAACUAUGGUUUCUCUACUUCAAAAGGGUAUGUGAUAUGACCAUGCCACCAAGCAAGAUGUCACAAGCUUCAAGUCAAUCUACAUCCACUCAAGUUUCACCUACACCGACACCAGCCCAAGUCAUCGAUGGACCGAUUACACGUAGUCGUGCAAAUAAGCUACAACAAGAGGUAUAUAGAAGAAGAGAAGGAUAAAUCGGACCUGAAGAACAGACCAGUGCAAGUUCCAGAAGAAGCCAAAAACGGACCAGUGGAAGCCAAAAACGGACUAGUGUAAAGAAAUCUUCAUAACUUUUUAGUCACAAAAGCUAGGAAGGUCUAUGAGGACUUGUUGGAAAUCUUGUCGAGUCUACUUUCUAAUAAAUCUAGUGGCGACCAGUUUGGAUACACCAUAUUGCCUGCAGACCAGAAUUAGUAUAGACUGCUCAGAAGGUUAAUAGUCUGUCAUGACAGAAUGUUGGUACAACUUGCCAAGUAAAACUGUACCAAUCUACAAUGUUUCGAUGGAAAGCCCUUUGAGUCUAGUUUCACACCCAAGAAACGGUUCAUCAUUUGGACUUCCCAAUAAGAAGUUAUGGUCAGUUUAUUGGAAACUGCUCUGGAGGCCAACAGUCACGCGAAGCCACUUCAGGAAUCCAUUCCGAGGGGACCUUUCACAUUGCCUUCCCUCAGAAACUCUAUUUUGUUUUCAUACCUAUCUAGCAGGGCUGUUGCUAGUAUAAAUACUCCCUAAGACUCAUUGUAAUCUAUGACUUUUGAUGAUUGAAAUACAGAACCCCUUUGUUCAGCUGCGUGCUAACAAAUCUAGAGAGUGAUCUCUACCCCUUUGCUCUUGUGAUUUCCUCGUGGGAUUACAUAGGCGGUGGCUUCAUCCGCUCCCAAUUGGUGCUCCUACUCCCUUCAAGGUAUUCCUUGAUUGAUUGUAGGCUAUGUUGGUUGGUUUCUUGAGAGUGUGGUUGGGCGAAUCCUCGAUUCAGGUUGCCAGUUAAAGACGGUGGUUGGCUUCGAGUUUUAUUUGCCAGGUUACACUAGUUAUCGCUGCUUGCUGCAAGUUAUCCGGCUGUUCUUCAGCUAGUUAUCGGUGUUCAUCCUAUGUCGUGAAGAUCGGGACAACGUGACACAUCAUCUGAUAUCAAAGCUUUCGUUACCACAGUAGGAAUUUUAUCCCUAGCUACAUAUAUAUUUUUGCUUUGUCCUAUCCACCAAAAAGCCAGAAAAAUAUAUUGCUUAGACCUUUGUUUCAAUCUGUUAUUUUAGUGAGUUCGGUUACGUCGCAGUCCAUUAGAGUCUUUGUUUUAGUUGCUGAUCAUUUAUCCUUCGCGUGUUCUUUGUGCCUCUUUUAUAUCUAAAAAUCCCCACAAAAAAAUCUAUAUAGCCUAUAUCAUUCUUUGUGUUAUCCUUGAUCCUAUCAAAUUAUAGUUUCUGGUUGUGCUUUGUUUCUAUCAUCAAGUUUGCAAGUAUUAUAUCUGAUCACUGUGUUUAGUUCUAUAUAAAAAAAGUGUGUCAAAAAAGAAAAGAAAGUGCAAAAAAAAAGUGAAGUAAAAAAAGGUAGAGAAAGGUUCAGAGAGAAAGUGUGAAAGAUUAGUUGGUUUAUGUGCACAAGUGCUGAAAGUUUCAUAUCAAGUUCUGCAACCAGUUUGCUAUCUUUGUUUGGUGCAAUAUUUUGGUUGGGUCUGAUUGCAACACUUGCAGCCCAAUCAUACUCCUUGUUUGCAUCAAAUCUGAAUUUUCUUUGUGCGUGUGUGUGAUCAUUUACUUCUUUCAUAUCUUGUGGUCAGCGCUAGGCAGAGAACUUCUAGUUUGGAUCGUUACUUAACUUUACAACAACUAGAAUUUAGAUUGCAUUUCUUGUGUAUUACUUCCCACCAAGCUCCACAUAAAAACCAUCGUAAUCAGUACUCUCUGUUCUUGUAUUCGCCUCGCCAUCACUUUCAGUUGCCACCACACAUUUGUUUUCCUUGUAAUCUGCAGCAGAGGAAUUCAUAAGAGCUUCGGUGGUUAGAGAGGUGAGUUGUGAGAGCCACCAAAUUUUCAUAUUCCACAAAUACAAAUUAUUUGUAUUCAGCUAACCUUACAGGAAGAUGGGUCAAGUGGACAUCAAAGAUCGUGUUUCCAUAGCACAAUUUAAUAAACUCCGACAAAGCAUAGAAGAAAAGCAAGAUAGGUUGACACAAGAUCUUCAGAAUCUUAUGACUGAAAUCAAAAGGCAUCGUCCACCUCAUGAUGGUGCAAGCAACCAUAGUGGAGAUAGAGAAGAUAGUGAUGGAAGAAGAGGAGGUCGGAGGAACCGGAGGGCUGCACAUGGUAAAGGAAGAAGACAUAGUCGAAGAAAUGAUGAUGAAUCUGAAGCUGAGGCUGAUGACAACCGCUUCCAACUCAGUUUUGGUCGCUGAUGUCAUAGAAGAGGCAACCAUGAAGAAAAUUUUGGCAAACUGAAAUUUACCAUGCCAAAAAUUGCUGCUGAACCAUCCCCGAGGAAUUUCUCUGGAGGAAGCAAAUCACACACAAAAUUUGCUGCUGAACCGUCCAUGGUGAAAAGCUCAAGUGGAGGCUCCCGAUCUAAUUUUUAUGGUACUUUUAGUGGAAAGAACACUGCUGUCCAUGGUGAAACAUUCUUUGUAGCCUAAAGGGUAGUAGCAAUAGAUUUAGUUAGUCAGAUGCACGCUUUCUCCCAGUGGUAAAAAUAUAAAUACGAUACUCUGGAUAACCUCCUGGGUGAAGUGCUCACCGAUAUCCGUGCGCUUGCGGAUCAUUUCCUGAUGGCGUUAACAAAUAUCAACAAGCAUUUCUGGCGCCGUUGCCGGGGAGAAAGACGGUUUGCUGAGAUAACUUUAAGUCUUGUUAUUAUCUUGUAUUAUACUUUUAUACUUUUAUUCUUUUAUCUUUUUAUUUUUUCCAUCUUUAUGGAUAACUUAAAUUCCACAACUAUUAUUGAAUUCUUUGCACCUUCGGAGACCAGCCAUAGACCAUGGGAGUCAACAAGUCCUGCCCCUAAUUAUGAUCUGUGUCCUGAGUUGAUUGCAAUAGGUCAAAACCAACCCUUUUCUAUAGCCGAGGUCCUAUCUUUUAAUCAAGAAGAUAAUGAACUUUUAGCUACACCUAGGGAAUCUUUUAAUCUUUUUAUAAAUUCUGGUUUAAACCUAGCCCUACAAGACCAUGUUUUUCCUCGAUAUUUUCACAUUGGUCUUAAUCAUAUAACCUUUGGUAGAGUUUUUCUUUCUUUAUCUAUUAGUAAAGGAAGGUAUGUCUUCAUUCAUGGACAUCCUUCUUGCACUAGUCUUCACAAAAAAUUCCUAGAGAUAGAGAAGGAAUCAUCUCCCAUACAAGGAAAGGAAGUUUCAAUAGCCGAUUUCCAAACAUUUCAAUCCCAUGAUUCAGCUAUCCAUCCCAUCCUUGAGCUUAAUAAUUUCUACUAUGCUCUUUCUCUUGAACCUCCCGAUAAUCCUAUGAAUCUCUCUAGACAUCCCAUGCAUAAGAGUCACCAAGAACACAAGAAGGAUCGAGAAGAGCAACAUCAAUGGCUAGAGGGCAUUAAAAAUCCAUGUGCUAUCACCAUUGAAUGGAUGGAUAAAACAAACUUGAGAGACAAUUCUAGAGGAAUUUUAAGCAUUCGUGAAAAAUCAUCCUUGGAGUUUGAGAAUAAGAGAAACAAUAGUGAGCAUGGAAGUUAUUUCAUGAACACCUCACCAAGUCCUUGCUCAUAUAAAACAUCUCCCCAAUCAACUGGUCUCUCCAACCUUACCACAUUUGAGAUCUCCAACCCCCUCUUCCUUUUUAUUUAUAAAAACUUUAAAAGGGUGGUUGUCGAUAUAUAUGUCUAUAAUAAAUAUUGCAGAUCUCGUUGAGUUGAUCUUGAUAUAGGUCAGCGUUGGAGGGGAAACCACUUCACCGGCAUAAAUUGAUGGUUUCCCAGGGACAAGCUUAGUGUCCUAAAACAAGCACUUAUCAGAUCGUAACAUGAAUUUCUAAUUACUUGCAACAUUACCUAGUGUGUUGAGCAUAUAAAGAUAAUUGUAGAAAUAUUCCUUCGGGUAUUCUUGUCACUAACCUUUCCAGGAUUGGAACAAGAAGAUCGGAUGAAUGACAAGCACAAGUUAUGUCUAACCAAUCGUCAUGCAACAUUGAAUUAAAUUCAUCUAAACUUGAAUUUUGCAAAAUUCAAGCUUGGGGGAGUAUUUUACAUAAAAACAUCCUUUGCCAUGUUGCUAUGUUGGUUGUCCCUACCUUUGAGACAUGCUCAAUUUGUUAAAUACUAAUCACGCUACUUCAUCUCCACUUCAGUAGAUCUCUAUAAAUGCUCUCAUGCUACCUUUAUUUGCUUUAGUAUAUGUCUAGGUUUGGAGUAGUUUCAUUUAUCUCUUAAUUCAGCAUGGUGCUUAGUUUAGGAAUGAUGAUCUUACUUCCAAGGGAUUUUGAAUUAAGCAUGGUGCUUAGGUUAAAAUGCCUUUCUAAAUCAAAUUAGACAUGGUGUCUAGGUUGAUUUUUGUGACGAUAGUAUGCUAUAGUAGAUAUUGGAUAUUUUGUUAAGGAAGGCAUAGCUCACAAGAGAUGAUCCAUGGAGGGUGCCACAAACACGAUGCACAACCGCUAAGAAAGGAAAGCUUCCACAAGGUGAUACUGUAUCAUCACUCUUCAAGUAAGGUAACAUCUUAAGGUACUUGACUAUCUCUUUUAUAAGCUUAUCCUUGAUUCUGGCGUUCACAUAAAACAAAGAAACAGACAUGUAUGAUUUAUAACUCCAAAUUAACCAACCCAACUGAUUCAGCAUGGUUAGUCCUUUAAUCUUUGUUCCUAGUACUACCUCCAUGAUCCUACACUCCUAAUCAUAUAAGCUAAAAUAUUGCACAUUCAAUCUUUGGAAGAUAAAAAAAAUAAACAAAACAUAAAAUAUAGAUAGAUUAUCUUUCCAUUAGGUUAAGCCAUCUGAUCUGACAAAUGUUUUAAAUGCUACACUCAUGAUCUUAUUAUCCAUCAACUUUGUCUUGCUCACUAUGCUUAAGGUUAGAGAAGAACAAAUACACUUUUGGUUCUGUUGGUGUUUUUCACCAACAGGGCCCAUGCACUUGAUCCCUGCCUUGUCUCUAUGAGUAGGUACACUUCGAGCAAAACCUGAAGGAGUUUUACAACUCCCAGACUCCACCAAGUGAAGGGCUUGGAUCUACGAGCACAAACACACAAGAGAUACUAGACACUCAGGCAAUCACUGCCCUGAGAUGCUUGAGGACGUAAACUAUAUCAACAACAACAACUACUACAACCGUCCUCAACAAAAUCAAGGUUGGAAUCAACACUGGCCUAACUACUCAGAGAGGCGAUCCAGGACGCCCCGUCAUCCCGAUCUCCAUCGGCAUGAUGGACUUCCCAGAACCACUCUGCAACUUUGGCUCCAACGUCAACAUUAUGCCCAGGGUUGCAGAUCGGACACUAAAGUUUCCCAAAGGGAAUAUUGAAGAACCUCUGCGUCCGAGUUGGUACCUUGUAUGCCCCAGUGCUACCAAGAUUAGUCUCUACAUCAAGGGGAGGAAGGACGUUUUCCUUCAAGAACAAGACUACACAAAUCUCAGAGCAAUCCCGACAUGAACCAAGGAAGAGGACCAACAGGAGGAACAGGAACAAGCAAAUUCAGACCGAGUCAGCUAAGAUGGUCACUACAGUUCAAGGAGGUCAAGAUCGUCGACUUAAGUCACCGUUUCUGACCAAAAAGGAUGACCCAGCUCCAGAUGGCAGAUCAGACAUUCCAAAAGGUUGAAGGUUAUUGACAUGGGAGAAGACGAGUAUGAUACACCCAUCAUCCUGGAGAGACCGUUCCUCGGCACCGUUAAAGCAAUCAUCUACAUUGGAACCGGAGAGGCCCACAUGCACUUCCCCUCUCAGAAGGUACGCCGCUAUUUUACUGACCUUAACUAUAUAGUUGAAGACUCUAAGCAGGUCAGGACAAGAAGAAGACGACGCAACCGCAACCAGAUGAGGCAAAUCAUCAAGGACGGAUAGGCAGACUACGAAGGAGAAGUGAUAAGGUCUGAAGACAUACAGCUUGAACAGAACUAUCCUGAGGAGACUGUAGCACCGAGUUAGGAAGAGAAGAUAGUUAUACACGAAGAAGAGGCGCCGCCGGAACCACCGACUACGCCAUCCAAUGAAUCUCAUGACGACUAAGAAAAUGGAGAGUUCCAUUCGGAGGACUUAAAAACACCGAAUGUCUUGCCAAAAGGUAAACUUGGUAGUUAUCCUUUUCCUUUCAAUUAUUCAAUUAUAGUUCGCUUAGUUAAUCACGUUCAUGCUAUCUUGAAAAGAAAAUAAAAAUGUUAAAAAUAGUAAGCCCCAUGUGAGUAUGCUCAUGGCAUAAAACCCAUAAGUACAUUCACUGUGCUCACAUAAAAAUAUUCUUGUCCUGUAAAAAUGAGAAUAUAAAAAUAAAUUUAUGAUCCUACCAAAGAGAGUAAUAUUUAUUAGAGGAAGCUCAAUAUGAUAAAGGCAAAGAGAUUUUAUGCUAACACUUAACCAGUUCCACAAAGCUUUGUUGUCAAUUUGAGCUCCACAGAAUUCAAGGAUCAAAGAAGACUAGCAGACGGAGGACAUCCUAAUCGCUGUCAGGGUGCUGCCGACAUUCAAAUACACCUCUGUCACCUGCUAGCUACAUCAGAAGAAAUUACGUCAAAAUCCAGCUUGGGGGAGAGCACCCCCAUUUAUCCAGCUAAGUAUUUCUACUCACGUUUAUACUUUACUCAAAUAAUAAAAAGAUGCAUAAUCAUGAAAACCUAAAUAAAAAUUCCAUGCUUAUAUUUUUGCUUAGUUUGCUAAAUAAAUAAAUAAAUAAAGUUUGAUAUGAACCCUCAUGAUAAGCUCUCACAUGGAAAUGAUAAAUAGUUGCUCUGCUAUGUACCUAGUUUUCAAGCUUGAGCUCUCUCUCAAGUUUAGGCAUAACUGUUAUAAUUUAAACCUGCUCUAAACCUGAACUUGUGGGAAGAGUACUUGAUCUGAAGUCUAAGUUGUUAACGGAUAUGAUAUGGGAAGGUUAAGCUGUUGUUUAUCUGUUCCUAGAGAUGCUAGAAUUCUGGAGAAUUUUAUCUUUGAAAAUCUUUAAAAUAACACAUGAUGAGUUCCUGUAUGAUGAGAGUUUAAAAUCCUGCCACAACCAUAUAUACAUGCUUAUUAGGCUAUGAACCAUACAUUUACUUUUUACUACUUAUGAGCAUUGAGUGUGGUCAAGCUGUGUAGACCCUUAGGAGCUUGUCAUGCGGGUAAAAUCAAGAUCCACUUGCACGUUCACUCACACAUGCUGCUUCUACUCCGGAAGUACGCAUCCACAUAUAUCCACUCAUUUCCAUCUCUAGAUUCACCCAAAAUUAUUCUACUCCUAAUCCGAGAGAGAAUAGCCAAAAACAUUUCCCUAUUUCUGUUUUUCCCUAUGAAAUAAAUGCUCAAGAUAUUUUGGUUACUACCACUUGCUACAUUAUUCCAGGAGGGUGAGUGCUCUGACAAAAAAGAGAAAAAAAGUUAAUACGAGGAAAUAAAAAGGGGCAAGUGCCCGAAACCUCGAAGAAAAGAAAAAGUGUGACGAGAGGUAAAAAUGGACAAGUGUCCGAUAGUAGAAUUAGGGGUACAAGAUACCCACCUGAGAGAAAAAGAAAAAGAAAAAUAUAGAGCAUCUCAUUCUCCUCAAAAAGCUUCAAAGUGCAAGAAAGGUAUGUAUCCCCUAAAAAAAGCAAAAGUAGAAUUAGACUUUCACCAUUGUUAUCACCAUCAUCAGCAUACAGCAUUCACUCGCCACAUAUGCAUAUCUUGAUUUGACUUAUUGACUUGUUCUUCUGGAUCCAUGGUUUGACUAUACAAUAAAUGUCUUGUAAGUAUGUAUUAUCUGUCUCCCACCUAUGGGCUCCAAAUAUCAAAACCUUAUUAGAGUAGGGUGAGAGAGAAGGCAAUAUCACUAUGCCUCAUACCAAAAAAUACCACACACUUUGAGAGAUGGCAUAUACCAUUACUGCCUUGGAAAGGAUCCAGAAAUACCACAAAAGAGAGAUUUGAGAGAGUCAUACAAGGAGUCUCUUAGUUUUAAUUGAAAAUCUGCAAAAACUCCAGAGCUAUAGCUGAUCAAGAAUAAGAGACAUGGCGCUUGACAUGACCGUUCUAUUUUUUAACUGCUCAAGACACAAGUGAUGUUUGCAAGCCCCAUGGUGAAAGGUAAAAUGAGUAAGUUUUAAGUCUUAACAGUUUACUCUAACUCAGAGAUGAGAUCUUGCUUGAAUGCAUGUGUACUUUUACGACAUGAAACCACUGCAGAAACUCUUGAGUCCAUCCUUGCUCAGGGACGAGCAAGACGUAAGCUUGGGGGAGUUGUUGACGGUCCUUAAGUACCAAAUAUAAUCAUCAAAUAAAAAAAAGAAAAGUAUCCAAAUGCAACCAACACCCAGACUUAGGGUUUUAUCUGACAGAAUUUCAUGAGUUUUUAUGUUUGUCUAUUUCUGUAGGGGGUUAUCAGGAAAUAUGGAAGAAAGGCCCACACGUCGGGUUUACAUAGAGAUAUUAACGUGCCGCGUAAUUUUCUACCAUCUGGAAGACUCUAGAAGCCAUGGGAAUGAACGGGAAGGUGAUCGGGUCCGGGGGCAGGGCGCCCGCCCUCCCCCUAGGGCGCCCGCCCUAAGGUAGAGUCCAAACAGGACCCGUCUCGCGGAUUACGCUCCACCGACCUAAAGGAUCAAGGAUAACCGUUCAAUCAAUGUUGGUUUUAUCCGACGGCCCACGUUCACCUGAGGGGACUAUAUAAGCAGACCCCCUGGCCCCUGGAGGAGAACAAGUUCAUCAUAGAGUUGCGAGGAGCCCUCGAAGGAUAACCUCUCCUCUAAAUAGACUUAGGGCUUAGCAUCCAAUGUGAGAGUAGAAUUAGUUCUUCUAAGUUCUACUAGAUUGAGAGAGAUAGAGUGGAGGUGUAGAUCGGAGGAAGCCCGGCCUGUCGGUGUCUACUCUGAGGUUGUACCUGCGGGAUCAAGUUCUCCUAACCCGAGGCUUGCUCCUAGGAUUCUUCAGUAAUUCGACUUCUAAAUUCUAGUAAGUUCUUGUUUUAUUGUUCUUUGGUUUAUGAGUUUACUUUAAUCUCUUCCGGUUGAGUUUAGAGUAAUCAUUGCUAGCGUAAACGUGGUGUUUGGGCUAGGGUACUCAUAGAUAUCCCCUGACUAGCUAGAUCGUGGUAGUAGCGAGGAACGUGACAUUUCCGAGUUACCUUUGCAGCCCACAUCUUGUUAGCAGGAUGGGUAGGGUUUAUAGGUGCGGGUCGAACAUUCUUUGUGGUGUCUAGAUUCCGUGAGCCUCCCCAAUAGAACAGUAGAUCAUCCUUACCAAGGUUUGAACGAGACUACGGUUGUAGUCUUCUCUAUACAUCGCUCACAUCGAGAAACAUUCUUUGUAGCCUAAAGGGUAGUAGCAAUAGAUUUGGUUAGUCAGAUGCACGCUUUCUCCUAGUGGUAAAAAUAUAAAUACGAUACUCUGGAUAACCUCCCGGGUGAAGUGCUCACCGAUAUCCGUGCACUUGCGGAUCAUUUCCUGAUGGCGUUAACAAAUAUCAACAUAUAGUAACUGAUGUCCCUGUCAAAAUAGACGAUCAUUUUGUCCAUACAGAUUUUCAGGUUAUUGACAUGGGAGAAGACGAGUACGAUCCACCCAUCAUCCUUGGGAGACCGUUCCUCAGCACCGUUAAAGCGAUCAUCUACAUUGGAACCGGAGAGGUCCAUAUGCACUUCCCCUCUGAGAAGGUACGCCGCUAUUUUACUGACCCUAAUUAUAUAGUUGAAAACUUUAAGCAGGUCAGGACAAGAAGAAGACGACGCAACCGCAACCAGAGGAGGCAAAUCAUCAACGACGGAUGGGCAGACUACGAAGGAGAAGUAGUAAGGUCUAAAAACAUACAGCUUGAACAGAACUAUCCUAAGGAGACCAUGGCACCGAGUCAGGUGUGGAGAGAGAAGAUAGUUAUACGCGAAGAGGAGGCGCCGCCGGAACCACCGACUACGCCAUCUAGCAAAUCCCAGGUCGAUUGAGAAAACAAAGAGUCCCGUUCGGAGGACUUAAAAACACCGAACGCCUUGCCAAGAGGUAAACUUGGUAGUUAUCCCUUUGCUUUCAAAUCAUUUACUUUUUCUUAAAAAUAGCUAGUUCAAGUUAAUCAGGUUCAUAUCAUCUUAAAAAGAAAAAUAAAAAUGUUAAAACCAGUAAAGCCCUAUGUGAGUAUACAAGUGGCAUAAAACCCAUAAGUACAUUCAGUGUGGUGGCAUAAAAAAAUAAUAAUAAAAAUAUUGUUCUGCUCUAUAAAAAUAUAAAACAUAAAAUUGUGAUCCUACUAAAUAAAGUAGCAUUUAUUGAGGAGGCUCAACAUGAUAAAGGCUAGAUAUUUAUGCUAACACUUAAUCAGUUCCAGAAAGCUUUGUUGUCUAUUUGAGCUCCACAGAAUUUAAGGAUCAAGAAGACUAGUAGACGGAGGACAUUCUAAUCGCUGUCAGAGUACUGCCGACAUUCAAAUACACCUCUGCCACCUGCUAGCUACAUCAGAAGAAAUUACAUCAAAAUUCAACUUGGGGGAGAGCACCCCCAGCUAUUCCGCUAAGUAUUUCUAUCUUCAUUUAUACUUAUACUAUAUUAAAAUAAAAAAUAUAUAACCAUGAAAAAACCAAAUAAAGAUUUUGUGCUUAUAUAUAUAUAUCGGUUGCUUAGUGUGCUUAAUAAAUAAAUGAAGUGGCUAUGCUAAACUGAAUCUUAAUAAAACUCUAGCAUGGAUACUAUGAAUAGUUGCUCUACCUAAUUUUCAAAUUUGGAGUUCUCUCUCUAGUUUAGACAUAAUUAUUAUAAUUUAAAGCUUGCUCUAAACCUGAACUUGUGGGAAGAGAACUUGAUCUAAAGUCUAAGUUGUUAACGGAUAUGAUAUGGGAGGGUUGAGCUGUUGUUUAUCUAUUCCUAGAGAUGCUAGAAUUUUGGAGAAUUUUAUCUUUUUAAAAUAUCACAUGAUGAGUUCCUGAAUGAUGAGAGUUUAAAUUCCUACCACAGCCAUAUAUACAUGCUUGCUAGACUUUGAGCCACACAUUUACUUUUUACUGCUUAUGAGCAUUGAGUGUGGUCAAGCUGUGUAGACCCUUAUGAGCUUGUCAUGCAGUUAAAAUCAAGAUUCACUUGCACGUUCACUCACACAUGCAGCUUCUACUCCGAAAGUACGCAUCCACAUAUAUCCACUCAUUUCCAUCUCCAGAACCACCCAAAAGUAUUCUACUCCUAAUCCGGGAGAGAAUAGCCAAAAACAUUCUCCUAUUUCUGUUUUUCCUGUGAAUUAAAUGCUCGAGUUAUCUUGGUUACUACCACUUGCUAUAUUAUUUCAGGAGAUGACUGCUCUAAAAAAAGAAAAAGGAUACGAGGAAAUAGAAAGGGGCAUGUGCUCGGAACCUCAAAAAAAGUGAGACGAGAGGUAAAAAUGGACAAGUUUCCGACAGUAGAAUUAGGGGUACAAGAUACCCACCUCAGAGGAAAGAAAAAGAAAAUAUAGAGCAUCUCAUUCUCCUCAAAAAGUUUCAAAAGAGCAAGAACGGUAUGUAUUCCCUCAAAAGAGCAAAAAGUAGAAUUAGACUUUCACCAUUGUUAUCACCAUCAUCACCAUACACCAUUCAUUCCCCACACAUGCACAUCUUGAUUUGACUUAUUAACCUCUUUCUCUGGAUCCAUGGCUUGACUAUGCAAUAAAUGUCUUGUAAGUAUGUAUACUUCAUCUCCCACCUAUGAGCUCCAGAUAUCAAAAGGCUUAUUAAAGUAGGGUGGAGAGAGAAGGCAAGUUUACUAUGCUUUGAGAGAAGGCAUAUACCAUCGCUGCCUUGGUAAGGAUCCAGAAAUACCACAAAAGAGAGAUCUGAGAGAGUCAUACAAGGAAUCUCUGAGUUUUAUUUGAAAAUCUACAAAAAAACUCCAGAGCUAUAGCUCAUCAAGAAUAAGAGACAUGGCGCUUGACUAGACGGUUCUAUCUUUUAAAUACUCAAGACAUAAGUGAUGGUUACAAGUCCCAUGGUGAAAGGUAAAAUGAGUAAGUUUUAAGUCUUGACAAUUUACUCUAACUCAGAGAUGAGAUCUCAUUUGAAAGCAUGUGUACCGUCAACUUUUAAAGUCAUUACAAUAGCUUCUGAUCCAUCACUGAGUCGAUCCUUGCUCAGGGACGAGCAAGAGGUAAGCUUAGAGGGAGUUGUUGACGGUCCUUAAAUACCAAAUAUAAUUAGCAAAUAAAUAGAGAAAAGGAUCCAAAUGUAACCAACACACAGACUUAGGGUUUUAUCUGACAGAAUUCCACGAGUUUUGGUGUUUGUCUAUUUCUACAGGGGGUUAUCAGGAAAUAUGGAGGAAAGGCCCACACGUCGGGUUUACAUAGAGAUAUUAACAUGCACUGCAAUUAUCCAACAUCUACAAGAGUCCAGAAUCCACGGGAACGAGCGGGAGGCCAAGCGGGCCCGGGGGCAGGGCGCCCGCCCUCCCCCUUUAUGCGCUCACCCUGGCCUGAGAGCCAAUCAGGCUCCGCCUCACGGAUCAUGCUCCACCGACCUAAGAGAUUAAGGAAAACCGUGUGAUUAAGGUCGGUUUGAUCCGACGGUCCAUAUUCAUUUGGAGAGACUAUAUAAGCAGGCCCCCUAGACCCUAGAGAGGAGGACUUGAGAAGCCCUAAUUCAUUCAUUCAUCUCGGGAGAAGAAGUCUCUGAUCAAGCCCUAGAGCCACCACAUCAACUAGAUCUCUAGUUUAGCAUAGCUACAUAGGAUUAGAACUAGAAGGAGUCAAUCUUCGAUUGGUUUCCGGAUCUGUCAAGAGGAUUCUUGGUAAUUCCUCUACUAUUCUUCAUUUGUUCAUCAUUGUUCUUCAAUAUUAUGAAUAUGACUUUGUUCUACUUCAAUAUAUUGAUUAUGACUUUGUUCUACUUGUUUAUAUUCGCAAUUAAAUUGUUCUUAGUUUGUCAUAGUUAUAUGCUUGGCUUAGUUAGAUUGGAUUUAUAUACAUGUUUAGGAUUGUAUAGCGUUUAUCCAUGUGUACAAUGGGUAAAUGAUAAGUAUUGUGUAGGCGUGGUGCAUAUAUCGUAUUUAUCUGCGAUUGUAUCCUAUAUGCUGGAUCAUGGGGUAGUUCGUGGUGGUGACAGCUCCAUGAUUCUUAUAUAGUCCCCCUCUCGUGUAUAGGGUAGGCAGAACAACAUUAUUACAGAGGAGUGAUUGCUAUGUUUCUCAUUUUCCUUGAUAAUAUCACUCUCGCAAUGAUUGCCAAGUAUAAUUGCACUAACUAUGAUAUGCUACACUUUAUAGUUAAGAAUAACUUAGGAAAUAUUCUUGUAGUUCAUCCUAAUUCCAUGCUAAUGACUUGCUGAAUAUCUGUUGAGGUGCUUAUCGUUAUUAUAUGUGGCUAGUAUGCUGAUCAGAUUAAUUAUCUUUGUCACCAUUCAAACUUUAUCUAUAUUUUAUGUGACAUUUAUCCCUGUAUGAAAGAGAUAGAUAAAUGCUCUCUAUUAUACAUGCAGUGAUAGAUACUCAAUUCCAUAUUUCAUUCCAUAAUCAACAUUGAUAAUUAGCAAUCCCUUUCGAGUGGUAAAAAUAUAAAUAACGAUACCUGAAAUACUUCCCGGUUAAAAUGCUACAUCGGUAUUAAUAUGUGCGCUUGCAGAUCUCAUUUAUUAUUCAUUCAGAAGAGCAAUUGCAUAUUUCAAUACCGCGUCUCUCAUGUCAUGCUGGGGAUGACAACUUGGCUUAAGUGGCAUGAGGGAUAGGUUCGGCAUUUUUGGCACCUUUAUCAGAAUUAGAAAACUAAGUCUACUUUUGGUAAUGACGUUAAGAAUGCCCAACACCUUCCCCGGCAACGGCGCCAAAAAUGCUUGUUGAUAUUUACUACCAUCAUUACUAAAAAUAGAGAUAAACCCUACCUCUAGCAACAACACCAGAAAUGCUCAGUAUAUAACUAACUUGUCAUUAAGCAACUAGCCACUUCUUAAUUACUAACUUUCCUAAACAUGAAGUAGGUUGUCAUCCCUAAUUAUAUUGCUAGGAAAUUAUUAUAGAUUCACAUGUACUAAUGUGACUAGGCAGAAAUAAAAGAUAUGAAUAUAAUUAUCAACUAAAUGGGUUCUGCAAGCGGACAUAUAAUUAUACUGUUGUAGCAUUUUACCUAGGGAGAUCAUCUAGGUUGUCGAUUUAUAUUUAUACCACUGGGUAGGCUACGUGUUGAACUAUAAUCUAUUUUAUUGAUAAGAAACUAUAUAGGAUGAAUAAAUGAUAUUACCAAUGUCAUAUAAUCUACUCAUAACAGGCAGAGGUCACAAGAUAAAUAUGGAUAAAUAUGGGUGAUAGCAUAAUCAUCAAGUAUCAUAAUUAAGGAUAAUCAUGAGAGCAUCUACUAGUCAUAAUCAUAGUUAGCCAUUGGAUAAACUAGGGUGUUAGAUCUAAGGAAAUUCUAUAACCACAUCAAGGAAUGACUUUAGUUAGUGCUUAUCAUAGUUAACUUAACCCUAUAUCAUAAUCAUAUGUAAAGAGGCAUCAACCAAUGAGGGUAUUAAGACACAAGGGUCACCUCCUUCGUGACCGUGCCCAUGCUUGUCCUACGUAUGGAGGAUGGACUAUAGAGGAACCAACAUAGCUAUCACCUAUGCAGACUACCAAACGUCCCUGCACUUUAGGGUGCACUCACAGAUAAACAAGAUAUCUAGACACCACGUCUACAUAUUGUCUACCAUCUACCCAACGAUCGAUUAGGUAAACGCUAUACGAGCAAUUACAUGAAUUCAAUAAGAUCAAACCAACUAUCCUAGACAUAUAAUCAAAGUAGACAAUGACUAUUGCAAUUAAGAACAUAUGAAUCUAUUAAGAAUAAAGUCUCCCUAAUAUAUAAUGAAUACAAUAAAGUAAGAACUAGAUCUAUUACCGAACUCUUAUCCUUUAGACCGACGCUAUGGGCUCCAGAUCCCGAUGAAGAACUAGAUCUCCUCUACUUCUAAUCUAACUAACUAGAACUAUGAACUAGAAUGCUCUUGAUGAACUUGAAGGCUCUUGAUGCUUGAUGGCUUGAGGCCUUGAUGAAUGAAGUUGUCUCCUCUAGUGGGGUCUACCCAUGUAUUUAUAGUAUGGUGGGAUGCGCGUACACCGUAGGAUCAAACCAACUUAACCAAGGGCCGAGAUGACUCCUCGUAGGUGGUGGAGGAAGCUUCCAGAAGGGGUAGGCAAACCCUAGCAAUAGGGGCCCGGUCGGUGCAGGGAUGGGGCCGACCGGCCCCACCCGGCAUGGUCUUGGCCCCUAGUUGCUUCUGGUGUCUUCUGGAUCCUUCCCACGUCCCGUUCGUGAUCUUUUCAUGGCGGAUAAGUUUCGUGUUUAUUUUGCACUUGAAGCCCUCUUUUUAGCUUUUCUAGAAAUAGACCCUAGAAAAUACAGAAUAUGCAUGUUGAUGGUCCUUAAUGCUCACAUUUAACCGUCAACUAAUCAUGGAAAAGGAUCCAAAUGCAACCAACACCCAGACUUAGGGUUUUAUCUGACAGAAUUCCAUGAGUUUUGGUGUUUGUCUAUUUCUGCAGGGGGUUAUCAGGAAAUACGGAGGAAAGGCCCACACGUCGGGUUUACAUAGAGAUAUUAACGUGCCGCGCAAUUUUCUAUCAUCUAGAAGACUCUAGAAGCCACGGGAACGAAUGGGAAGCCGAGAGGGCUCAGGGACAGGGCGCCCGCCCUACUCUCCUGGGCGCCCGCCCACUUCCAGAGUCCAAUCAGGACACGUUUCGGGGAUUAUGCUCCACCGACCUAAUGGAUCAAGGAAAACCAUGCGAUUAAUGUCGGUUUGAUCCGACGGCCCAGAUUCAUCUGAAAAGACUAUAUAAGCAAGGCCCCCUGGCCCCUGGAGAUCAUACCUCUUCUACAGAACCAAAGUUAGGGUUUCAAUUCUUCAUCCAAGUAGAGAGGAUCCCUCUAGUUCUUCUACUUCUACCUCUAGUUCAUCUAGUUCUAGUUCUAGUUCGUCUAGUUCUAGUUCUAGUUCCUCUAGUUCUAGUUCUAGUUAGUUCUAGUUGUAAUCUAGAAAAUAGGGAGAGAGAAGAGGAGAGCGGAGGAGGAGCCGGAUCUGUCGGAUCUUCCUUAACAUUGUACUUUUGCAGCAACUGGUUCGUUCUUCAUCGUUCUCCAGGUUCUUCAAUUCAUAAUCCGAGUUCUUUAAUUACUUUUAUUUACAUUCAAGUUAUUUACUGGAUUCCCGCUUGCAUCAUGUGCUCUAAUCUUUGCAACAUUAGAGUAGUAAUUAAUAGAUUAGAUGUGGUGUUUAGUCUUGCAAUUACUUGGAAUUGCACCCAAUCCUGCGGAUUGUUGUGGUAGCCCUAGGGUAGUGACAGCCCUAAUGGUCGACGUAUUCCACCUCGUUCGGAUCGGUGUUUGUAGGACCGUAGUCAGACCUUCCUAGCCCCCUUCUCCUCUCUUUCUGUGGUUAGUGCUCUGAUGUCCCGAUAUAAAUAAUCUUUGAAGUAAUUCUUGAUUCUUAGAUCAACUAGAGAACUCUCAGGAAACUUCCUCUCUUCCCACCAAAAAUAAUUAUAUAGUUAUCCUUGGGCGAUCUUGAAUCUUAAUUAGUACACUCACGUUCCCUGUAGAAAAUCGAUACUCUGGAAUACUCCCGGGUGAAGGCUACAUCGGUAUCCGUGCGCUUGCGGAUUUUUCUGUUUGCGUUUAAAAUACCCAACAAUGCAUAACUCAUGGAAAUUGUCAGUUUAAACACUAGAUGAGUGUGUUUUCAUGUUCUCCUUUGGGUCUAAAGCUCUAAUAAAAGUUGACAUUAUCGACGUCAACAAUUACUCCUACUAUGCCCUUUGAUUUUUGGAAUCCCUUAUCAUCUUGAUCUUCUUCUUCUUUCUUCUGGUCGACUUCUUUAUUGUCUCCCUUCUUUCUUGUAUAUCUGUCAAUGAAGAUGCGACUAUCUCCAGUCAUAUGAUUCCCAUGUGGGUGCCAUAUGCAGUGCAUAUUCUUGAAGUCAUCAAUCUUCUUGGUCUUAGAAAAUGGCUUAUUUGCUUUGUCCACCAUGGCCACUAUGUUGUUGGGUCUCUGCUUCUUGCCCUAUUGUCUGUUGCCAUGGUGGUUCUGUCUGUUGAAGUUGUCUUGGUUGUUUUGAUCUGAGAACCUUUCUCGAGUCUUUUCCUCUACAGCAAUCAUCCUUUGCACCGUGUACUUAAAGCCCUCAUUACUCCAUAGGUUCUCUUUGCAAAUUCAUGAAAUUACUAGUUGGUUAGAAUUCCAUAGGAGAAAGCUUUGAUAACCUCUUGCUCAGUGAUGUCAUGUACUUGGGCAUGUAUACUUUCAAUAAUUGGAAGGUUUGAACUUAUAGUGUAGCUAUAUAAAAAGAAGUCGAUUCAUGAAACAAGGGAACUAGUCAGGUAUUCCUACUUCCCUAUACCAGGAUUUAGCUCCUCCUUCUCGCCGACUUGAUGAGAGCAUGAGUAGUUUGGGGGUACCAUGGGCAUAGGUGGUCUGCUUGUGUUUUCCCUUAGUUGCUCAACUAAAUUACAUUGGCUUUGUUCUACCCUACUUCUUAUGUUGCUGCUUUUCAUCAGUCCUAAUCUUUCAAAAGCAGAUCUUCAUUGUUUUGAUUGUUCUAUCUAUACAAACCUAUCCCGACAGGUUGUCCUGAAUGAGACUUCUCGUAUUGCAUUCAUCGAGUGGCUGACCAAAAGAUGUCCUUAAGGUGUUCUUGUUCUUCAUUGGGAUGGGAAAUAGCUUUGAGUUCUUUCACAAGUUCAUGAACCUUUGUAUAAGGAGAAUUGUUUGUCCUUCUAGCUACUCACUUAUUCUUAGCUUCUUGUUCCACCUUCUUUGUUUUGUACUUGGCUAGUUGUUGAUGGUCCUUAAUGCUAACAUUUAACUGUCAACUAAUCAUGGAAAAGGACCUAUAUGCAACCAACAUUCAAAAUUAGGGUUUCAUCUGACAGAAUUCCACAAGUUUUGGUAUUUGUCUAUUUCUGUAGGGGGUUAUCAGGAAAUAUGGAGGAAAGGCCCACACGUCACGUUUACAUAGAGAUAUUAAGGUCUACUACAAUUUUCCGUAAUGAGAUGGACCUAAGAAGCGAUUGGACUGAAGCAGAGGCAGAACGAGGCGUGGCCCAGGGCGCCCGCCCUAGGGACCAGGGCGCCCGCCCUCCUGUGGUGCCUAAUCAGGGUCCACUUCGGGGAUUAUGCCCCACCAACUCUAAGGAUCGAUGAAAAUCAUGCGAUUAAGGUUGGUUUGAUCGGAUGGUGAAGAAUAACGUGAUGCGGAUCGAUGACAAGGAAAUUCCUUGGGGGCUACUCUUCCUAGAUCUCUUGGGGGCUACUCUUCCUAAAUUUCUUGGGGGCUACUCUUCCUAGGCUAUAUAAGGCGCCCCCACCAGCCCCUGGAUGGAUAUCUCUUCUACAGAAUCAAAGCUAGGGUUUCAAUUAUUCAUCCAAGUAGAGAGGAUCCCUCUAGUUCAUCUAGUUCUAGUUCUAGUUCAUCUAGUUCUAGUUCUAGUAAGUUCUAGUUGUAAUCUAGGAAAUAGGGAGAGAGAAGAGGAGAGCGGAGGAGGAGCCGGAUCUGUCGGAUCUUCCUCAACAUUGUACUUUUGCAGCAACUGGUUCGUUCUUCAUCGUUCUCCAAGUUCUUCAAUUCAUAAUUCUUGAGUUCUUUAACUACUUUUAUUUACAUUCAAGUUAUUUAUUGGAUUCCCGCUUGCAUCAAGUGCUCUAGUCUUUGCAACGCUAGAGUAGUAAUUAAUACAUUAGACGUGGUGUUUACUCUUGCAAUUACCUAGAACUGCACCCAAUCCUGCGGAUUGUUGUGGUAACCCUAGGGUAGUGACAGCCCUAACGGUCAACGUAUUCCACCUCGUUUGGAUCGGUGUUUGUAGGACCGUAGUCAGAGCUUUCUAGCCCCCUUCUCAUCUCUUUCUGUGGUUAGUGUUCUGAUGUCCCGAAAUAAAUAAUCUUUGAAAUAAUUCUUGACUCUUAGGUCAACUAGAGAACUCUCAGGAAACUUCCUCUCUUCCCACCAAAAAUAAUUAUAUAGUUAUCCUUGGGCGAUCUUGAAUCUUAAUUAGUACACUCACGUUCCCUGUGGAAAAUCGAUACUCUAGAAUACUCCCGGGUGAAAGCUACAUCGGUAUCCGUGCGGUUGUGGAUUUUUCUGUUUGUGUUUAAAAUACCCAACAAGCUUUCUGGCACCGUUGCUGGGGAACCGUAGCUGUGCUAGUUUCGUACCAAGUCGUCAGUGUAUCCUUUUUCUUUUCCUUUUUUUUACCACACUCACCUUACCAUUUUCACCAUACCACAUGGAUUUCACUCCUAUCUAUAAAUUCUUUGCUCCAAAGGGCGAGUUAUUAGAGCCACCACCAUCAUCACAUCCAAUUCUUACAGAUGGCUACGACCUCGGCCCUGAUCUAAUAGCCAUAAUUCAAGAGCAACCCUUCUCUAGGCAAGUAGAUGAAGAUCCGUACACCCACCUUAGAGAAUUCGAGCAGUUGUGCUCUUGCCGAUCUAUUUUCGGCAUGACACAAGAAACCCUUAAAUGGAAAUUAUUUCCGUUCUCCCUUUUGGGAAGAGCAAAAAAGUGGUAUGCUCAUUCUGUAGGAGGCGUUAAUGGAAAUUGGGAUGAACUUCGGGACAACUUUUGUCUCGCUUUCUUCCCACUUUUUCGAAUCGCUGACCUUAGAAUCAAAAUUCUUACAUUCAAACAAAGAGAGAAGGAAACUUUAGGAGCAGCUUGGGCUAGGUUCACAAGCCUUACCAAUUCCGGUCCAAACCUUUUCCUGCCUGACCAUGUACUGUACUAUCACUUUUAUCGUGGUCUAAACAAGGAAGCUACUCUUCACCUCGACAUUGCUUCAGGAGGCUCAUUCGCACACAAACUCAUAGAUGAGGGGAGAGCUAUCCUAGAGAGAAUCCUUGAAAAUACCCCUUACACAUGCAUUUAUGAUGAGUUUCCUGAAGAAGAAAAAGAAGUCGAGCCUGGUCCUAAACCAAAAGAUGAGGAACUUGCAACCGAGUUAGAAAUUCCACCUGACCCAUCUAUUAAUUUGGUUUUAGAGAAACCUCCUGAUAAGGGAAUGCAAAACCAACUAAGGGAUAAUGAACCCCCACCUUUAGAGCAUCCCUUUGAAUUUGAGGAAGAUCUUUUUGAAGAUUAUGGAAAUGCCUUAAAUUUUCCUAUCCAAACACGACCUCUAGCAGGUACCACUCAAUCCGUUCUAAGAGUAGAAUCUGUUGACAUAGAACACAUCAAAAGCCUUUCAGCUAUUCUAAGUUAUGAAUGGCUAACAGAAGCAUAGCUGUCUCCUGAGGUAGCUCGGAUCAUCACUCCUUCAACCAUUCUUCUGUGCCAAAUUAGAGGGUCCGCUCGGAAGGUCCACUACAAUCCAUAUGUUGGGAUAAAUGUUAUUUCCAAGGAGUUAGCUGACACUCUUUAUCCCAACGAGUCCAUAACCCCAUCUCAAAAACUUUUACAAAGUCCAUCUAGAUUAAUUCUAGAAAGCCAUGGGGUAUUAAGGGCGGUUCCUGUUAGAAUCAAGGACUCUGGAAUAUGUCUAGAUUUUCACAUUUUUGACAUACUGUAAUACCCAAUUUUAAGAACAAAACCAGAUAUGCACCAUAUGUGAGUUUUAGAAGCCAAAUCUCACAUAUAGCUUCAAAUAAGGGGUAAUAUCAAAAGACAAUGCAUAAAUAUAUAACAUACUUAGUAUAAAAGAUAUAACCUUUGAUAGCAAAUAGCGGAUAGACAACUCCAAACUUUGGGUAUUAACUUCUCUCUACGGGAUCCAACUGACUGGUUGAUCACAAGCCUAAACUUCUCCUGAGGUUUGGGGGAAAUAGCAAGAGUGAGUCCAUGUCGAACUCUACAAGUAUAGCAACUAGAUUGUAUAGCUCCCACAAUCUCAUGAUCAAUGUGACAUAAAUAAUGUAAAGCAUUAAACAAUAAGCAAUGAGCAUAUUUAACACACAAGAUUCAUCACCCUUAAUGUAGAUGUCCCCAAGGCCGCUCCUGACCGUGAGCUCGGCUAGUAUACCAGUUUUACACUCUGCAGAGGUUGUACAUCUUUACCCAUGAGUCAUGAUUUACCCUUUCGCCCGAGGUGAUCAGCCUCUUAACCCACUUCCAAGGAAGGUUGGCAGGGAUCACUAUGAAGCCUUUCAAAGGUUUCGUCUAACAAAGUAGGGCCAUUAGAUUCACUCGGCAGGCAGAUAUAGAGCCACACUUCCAUGGCACAUAACCCACAGCCUAUACACACGGACAGAGGCCACACUAUACCCAACGUGUCGAGCCAUUCUUACGCCAUUUAAGGUAACCGCUAACAAGCUAGAAAAAGGUCCUCAUACUGGGCUAAAGCCAGAGCCAUUAUAGCCCUCAUGGUUGCACUGUUAUCCCGGGUGAUCACGUACAGAUAAAUCAUCAAGUUGCUAAAAAGUCAUUUUUAUUAUUUAUUACUUAACAUUAAUCUAGUCACAGGAUCAUGGUCGCAGAAAUAAAAUCCAAAUGCUAUACUUGCCUUAAUCAAAGCUCUCCUGAGCCUGCUACUGGUCGUCAAAAACUUGAUCUUGCUCACCAACGUACGGCUCACCGUCUAAACUCGAUCAUCGAUCACACAAAGAAUCGAAGAAAACAUACACGAAGCAAACAAGGCUACAAUUAGAACAGUACACCAAACAUAUAAAAACAGUAUGAAAAGUUUAUAAAAUGAUUCUACACAUCGCUAUGAUUUCAUAGACGUAAAGAUCACGAAAAUCGGAACUAAAAGAGAGGAGUUAUGAAUGUUCUAAGAUCUUAUAUAGAAAAGUAAUUAAUUAAAUAAUAUCACGAAAAUAAAAAGUUUCAAACUGGGUAAACAAUAUUACUAACAUGUGGAGCUCAUUAAUACGAAUCUAACAAAAUUUGAAUGGAUCAAAACGGAAUUAAAAUGAAUAUUUUAUGGCUAAAACAAUUUCAGUGGCAGUUUUGUAAAUACAAGAAAACGUAUUCUGAGCUAAGCCAUGAUGGUUUACGCUUUCAAAACAGGAAAGCGCAUUUUACGUAUACGCUUUGGACCGCGGGUUCAAAUAGCAAAAACAGGGAGGGCUCUUUAACAAAAAUGCGAAUGAAGGGGUAUGUUUUAUUUUUAGCCAUAGAUCUUGAGAUGAACGGCUUUGGGCGAUCCAGGGGAGCUGGGCGGUGGCCGGCGGCGAUCUCCACAGUGGAGCGCCAUGGCCGGAGGGGGAGGAGCUCGCCGGAGUUCGUCACUUAUGCGAUUUUGGGCAAGAUUUGAGAAACUAAUCGCAUAGGGAGCAAGAGAAGUUCAAGGGGAACAACGGGGUCGGGGAAGGCUCGGUGAAGGGGUUCGACGCGAGGAGGCGAGCGGCGGCCCUCUGCUCGUGUUCGGCGGUGUUUAGGGGGCGAGGGAGACCGAUAGAGAUUACAGGGACGGACUCCGGAGCUUCAAAAUCAUGUUGCGAAGGUCGGCACGUGGUUGCAGACGAGCUUUGAGCACCCAGGAACAAAAACCACGGCGGUGGCUCCAAAUCGGAACUUGACGAGAUCCAAAACGAUGACUCCGGCGUUUAGAGCGGCUCUCGUGCUCGUAGAUGGAAAAGAGAAGACACCGAAGGGUGCUAAAGCACUUAUAGGCGCUCAGUUGGUGCUUUGCCUGCGAAAUCCCUGGAGAUUACAGGAUUUGCUGCCUCCUAGAAGAGUCCUGGGCGGAUUUGGCGCUAGGAAGAAGAUAGGAAGGAGGGAUGAGACGCUGCCGCGAGGGCUCGGGCUGUCGGUGACAGAAAGUGGAGGGGCCCAAUCGCCAUGGAGCAGAGAGGAGGGAGGCGCGCGCGCUGCAAACUGGGCCGGGGCGCGCAGCUUGGGCCGAUUGUGGGAGAGAGGAGGGGGGGAAUGCUGGGCCGAAAGGGGAAAAGGGGAGGUUUUCUUUUCUUUUUUUUAGUUUCCUUUUCCUUUCUUUUAUUCCAAAUCCAUUUUCAAAUCUAUUUUAAAAAUUACUUUGAAAUACUUUUGAACUUUAGUCAAACCACUCAAGUCAACAAAAAUUAAUGUAAAAGCAUGAAUGCACAACAAGUUGCUAAGUUCUAUGAUAAAUUUUAUUUUAAUGAAAAAAUAUUGUUUUUCCUAGGUUUCAUGAGCACAAAAAUUCAUAAAUAAAUCAUUUUAGCUCUAUUUUCCAAGGAAAUAGUUUUUAAGGUGUUACAAAUCUACCCCCCUUAAAAUGAAUCUCGUCCUCGAGAUUCGAAAGAGGCACGAAUUCCGAAAGACAAGCAGGAAAAUAUCUUAAUACUCUUUCAGCUCCACACUUGCAUUCCAACUGCAAACACUUAUGUCUUGGGAUCACAACUUGUGAAUAAAACUUCCAUAAAAUGUCUAUUAUUCGUAAUUGUUCAAGGUCCAUCUUGACUACCAACUUUUUGACUUAUACAACUCGAAGACAUGGUAACUUAGCAUGGAUAUGCCUCCUCAGGUAGGAGUGGACCACUAUGAUACUCGAUUCUUUUCUCUGAUGGUGCGGUUAAGAAAAUUUUCCACUGGGUAGCAUAGAUCACUCCUUUGUGUGCACAUAACCAUCCAUUGCCAAGAACCAAAGACAUAUCGAGUGACUCUAGCAUACUGAGGUUUACAGCAAAGUUUUCCUUGCUUUUGACCAAAUUGAUAUUCGAACAAACCUGAUCCAUGGGACACUACACUCCCUGUCAUUAAGUGACCAACGUCAGUAACUCAGCAAAGAUAGUUGAUCAUAACCAUAGGAUAUCUCCGAAGACAAUUAUCUUCAAGAUAGUUUUAAAAUGCAUCAUCCCAUGAUAUCAAGGUACUACCCCCUUAAGACGAGGUUGAUUGGGGGACACUAGGGACUAGUUCUCCUAUCCUUUUUGUACACUACAGAUCAUAGUCCUUUACUUUUGUCGUACUGAGUGUCUUAAUCCAAGGUUACGUUCCUCACUAAGUUCCAAUUAUCGGUACCUUUAUCAUAGUUAAGUUGCUUCACUCUCGCAUCCCAAUUAUAACUUCAUAAACUUUGGUGUCAUCUAAUCCUCAUAAACAUAACUCUCAAUCCAUGAGUAUCAGCAAUGACAUAUAUCUCCAUUAAUAUUCUCUAAAUUAGAUGAUAUCCUGAAUCAAAACUAAUUUACCAAGCACUUGUGAUCUUCACUUAUGAUCUAACAUUAUCCAAUUUUUCUCUAUGUAACUUCUUUAAUUAGGCUACCCCCCUUAAAAGGGUCAACUAGGGGACACAAGAAAGUUAGCUUGCAUAUUUUCCAGACAAGUUAACUAACAUUGAGAACUUCUGACAUUCCAAAGAACUUAUGUGCAAUGGAGCAAACAGGUAUCCUGAAAUUUCCUCGCGAUAUGAAAAACAUCAGCGUAGUAAAACACAUAUAACUCUUAUUCUGUUAAUCCAAUAGAGUUUUAGCUUAUACCGUUAGAAAGCUUAUGAAUUUCCCUACAACUUUUAUGUAGAAAACCUCCUUAGGUUCUGUAUUUAAGCUUAAGUAAAAUAGCCAAACUUAAAUUCCAUCCUGACAAUGUCUCAGCAAAGAUGCAGUAACUUCCAGAAGUUAUAUCUCGAGCUACUUAACUCAUCUGGAGAUGAUCCAUACAUUUUUGAAAAGCCUAGGAAAUCCACUACAACUUUUGUAUACCACGUUUUCCCAGAUUCUGUCAUUAACUUGGCCGAAAAUAGGAAAUGCUAGAUCUGUCCAGAUUUUGAAACAGAACAGAAACAUCCAAGUGUAAAUGUCAUAUCUCAGGUUCUACUUAUCCAAAUGAGUUCCAGCUUAUACUUUUAGAAAGCUUAGAAAAUUGUAUACAACUUUUAUAUAGAACACCUUUCUAAAUUCUAUAGCUAUAUUUGUCUCAAACAGUAAGCAACCAAAACUGAUCCAGCUUCUUGACAACACAGUUGUAUCAUCUUGUGAUUUUUGUAACUUCCAAACCAUAACAGCUAUGAGGGUGAUUCUUGCGGUCAGAGAAAGAUCUUGAAGUCUAGUUGUUCCCAGAAAAAGUUGAUAGACUUUGCACGAUCAAACUUGAGAUACACCAGAACCAUUGCAGACUGCUCCAGAAAUCAGCAAAGGAUAGAAACGGGAUAUAACCAAACCCAACUACUUAUUUCACUAAUUCUUAUACCUUAGACCUAUAAACUAAUGAAAUUGUGAAGAAACUCACAAGAUCAUUACACUCAUUACAAAGAUCCAAAUCAAGCAUAAGCAUAAUGACAAACCAACUAAGCAUUAAAGGUUCAAACUUCACUCAACUUGCAAUACUAUCGUUCUCUUCAAAGUAAAGGUAAAGAUCCUAAAACUCCUCUUCAAAAGACACAAGAAGAUGAUAAGGGAAGGUUCUAAAAGCAUACCAACUCAAGGAGUGAAGGUGAGAACAAGGACUUUUAAAAUAAGCAACAAGGUAGAGACAAAUAGCAAGGAUAGGGAUAUAGUACGGAUAAAAAUACCAAGGUUUAUAGAGCAAGGAUUUUAUGACAAUUCCAAAACCUUAAGACAACCAUUUUCUAACUAGGCUUGUGUCCUACAGUCAGCAUUGCUCUGAUACCACUUUGUAAUUUCCGAUUUUAAGAACAAAACAAGAUAUGCACCAUAUGUGAUUUUUAGAAGCCACAUCUCACAUAUAGCUACAAAUAAGGGGUUAUAUCAAAAGACAAUGCAUAAAUAUAUAACAUACUUAGUAUAAAAGAUAUAACCUUUGAUAGCAAACAGCGGAUAGACAACUCCAAACUUUGGGUAUUAACUUCUCUCUAUAGGAUCCAACUGACUGGUUGAUCACAAGCCUAAACUUCUCCUGAGGUUUGGGGGAAAUAGCAAGAAUGAGUCCAUGUCGAACUCCACAAGUAUAGCAACUAGAUUGUAUAGCUCCCACAAUCUCAUAAUCAAUGUGACAUAAAUAAUGUAAAGCAUUAAACAAUAAGCAAUGAGCAUAUUUAACAUGCAAGAUUCAUCACCCUUAAUGUAGAUGUCCCCAAGGCCGCUCCUGACCGUGAGCUCGGCUAGUAUACCAGUUUUACACUCUGCAGAGGUUGUACAUCUUUACCCAUGAGUCAUGAUUUACCCUUUCGCCUGAGGUGAUCAGCCUCUUAACCCACUUCCAAGGAAGGUCGGCAGGGAUCACUAUGAAGCCUUUCAAAGGUUUCGUCUAACAAGUUAGGGCCAUAAGAU